rnacentral:lncRNA from 1 species
UCGUUGUUUGAAGUAACAACAAAGUAAAAUAGAGGUGAGAAAUUACCGGUGGGUGAUAGUAAUUGCAACCAUUCGAGAAUUUACCACUCGGACUCGAUGUAGGGAAUGUGAGAUAUCUUAUGCCAGUCUUCUCCUUCCCCCUCUCUAUAACGGUUUUCCAGAAGAGGACAUCUGUGAAUAAUCAAUUCCUGCAGCGUCGUCGUCCGAAGAAGGUAAUCCGGCAGCACCUUUAAUUUGGGGCAAUACCCAAUUUCCAAGGAAGAAAGACGUGGUAUGUCUGUUGUCUUGCGAUCUUCUAGAAUGGGCAGUUCUUCUAGAAGAUCACAAAAAUAAAUACGCAGUUCCUGCAGUGCCGUCGAUUGAAGAAGGUAAUCCGGCAGCGCCUUCAAUUUGGGGCAACCUCUAAUCCACAAGGAAGAAAGACGGGGCAUGAUGGAGAUGUUUUCCUUCCUCGUAAUCCUGUAAUUCCACUCUUCCAACUCUUCCAUUCCCCCAAUGUCGAGUGAUUUUAAUUUGGGAAAGGCAGUAACUGAUGAUGACGAUGAAGAUGAAGAUGGGUCAUCCUCACUGCUUUCUUCUAUUCCCAAAAACUCAUUACCCACUCUUUUUACACUUUUCAAAAUGUAUAGUUGGAGUUUUUCCAGAGGUAAUUUUCCCAAAGGAGGCAAAUGCUCACAGUUAAAACAAAACCAAAGAUUUAAUUCCCUUAGAUAGGUUAGUGAAGUCAACCAUUUGGGAAAAAUGUCGCCUCCGUAGAAACAAAUCUGUAAUUCCUCUACAUUCAAAUGCGGUUGUAAAGCUUCAAGAAGUUGUUUAUCUUUCUCAUUCUUCCUCCUCCCUUCUUCGCCUUCCCCAUCUACGACUCCAUCAAACACAAGAUGCAAACGAAGGAGGUUUUCCAUAUUGUGAAGUCCUAUUCUCUCAGCCUCAUCUAAAUGUGAUACAUUACUCAGCCCUUCUAUUCCACAUUUACGAAGGAGUUGAAGAUUUUUCAGAGAUUCAAGCCUACACGUGCUGCCGCCAUCAACACCUCCACCCACAACAAACUUUUCUAAUGUUCGAAGACUGGUUAAUUUGGAAAUCCCUAUUGGCAUGUACUUCAAUGAAUAAGUUUGACCAUUCAGUAAACUCCUCAUGUUCAUUAACUUCCCAAUCCCCGCUGGCAAUUCUCUAAGAUUUGGGCACCGCCUAAUAUCUAGCUUUCGUAAAUUAUAUAAUUCACACAAAGUCUCAGGCAGUCUCUCUAUACAUAAUUCAGAUAAAUUAAGAUAUUUUAAAUGUAUCAAUUUUCCAAUAUUUUCUGGAAUUUCUCUAAUGAAAUUUGGGCUAGGAUGAGAAAAUGAGGACAACUGUCUUAUAACUAAUGCCCUUAAACACGCCAAUUUACUAAAUAACCCCGGAAGGAUGCUACUACGAAGAGACGGACCUUUAUCAUAAAUUAAGAGGGUCCGCAAUCUAUUAAGUCCAUAAAUGGACAUAGGAAGUGGAGCGCCUCCUUCAAAAUUUAAUCCUAGGUGACAGACUUUGUCACCAAAAGAAUUUAUGACUGACUCUUUGUUACCAUCAAUUUCUAGCCACAAACAUUCUUUUCUACUUACAAAUUGGGCAAAAUCAUGUACUAUGUCAUGCAUUUUACACCUCAUAAACUCAUUAUCGCCACCGUAUGUUUCAAACUCUUGAAAGAAAGAGUGUGUUGCUAAGAUGUUGAAAUACUCUUCUCCAACCAUCUCCAUUUCUUCGUCUUCUUCUGCAUUAAGGUAACCUUGAGCCAUCCACAUAUCAAUCAAUUCCUUUUUAUGCAUAUAGUGGUCUUUUGGAAAGACAGCACAAUAUGAGAAACAUUGUUUUACCAUAGAAUUAGAGGGCAAAUCGUUAUAACUCAACAACAAAGGAGCCAAAAGACCUUUCCUAAUCUCUUCUACCUUCCACAUUUCACUCUCUAAAAUUCUUUGCCACUCUUUUACUGUACAUUUAGAGCGCAAGAGAUUCCCUAUUACCUUUACAGCAAGAGGCAGGCCUUUGCACUUGCGUGCAAUUUUUCGUCCGAUUGGUUCUAAUUUUUCACAAUCCUCGAAAGAGCGACCGAAAAAUGCCAACCGCUUGAACAACAACCAGCAUUCCUCUUCAGCUAGUUGUUCAAUGGAGAUAAUAUCUAACUCUAUUGUUCGCAUCAUACGUGCAACUGACUCAUUACGUGUGGUAACCACAAUUUUACUUCCAGGAAGACCAUUCUUUAGACAAAAGAAGAAUUGAUCCCAUAUAUUAUAAUUCCCAUCCCAUACAUCAUCUAAGACAAUAAAAAUUUUUUUUCCUUCAAUUGAUCUAUGGAUAUGGCUCAUAAGAGAUUGGAAUUCGCUUAAACCAGAAGCUUCUUUUGACUCGCCUAGUCCUUCAAUAAUUGCUUUGGCGACCCUCAUCUCAUCAAAAGUGUCUGAUACACACACCCAUAUAACUUUUUCAAAAUUUAUUUUCACCCCAUCAUUAUUAUAGGCUAGUUGUGCAAGAGUGGUUUUACCUAUACCCCCUAACCCAACCAGUGAGAUGAUAUGAGGAUGUUGUUCGCCACUCUCACCCAACAACUUACCUAACAGCUCAUUUUUCUCGUCAUCUCUACCAAAAAUCUCUCCCUCAUCAAUCAAGGAGGUGGUUGGCACUCGCUCUGAUUUCUUAACAUUGUUACUCACAUUCUCAACAAAUUUAAACAUAUCUUUUCGAGUGGCAAUACCAUCUAGCUUUUCACUGAUUUCGCUAAUCUUGACAGCAACAUCAUCACGAAGAAUGAGUUGUUUGAAACCACCUAAGUAGUUUGAGGCAGCACGAAAGAAGGAACAUACCUUCUUCUUAGGAGGAGCAAGAGCAAGAGCAUCGUCAUCAUCGCCGCCCUCAUCAAGCUGCAAUUUCCGUGUUUCAGUGAUCCACUCUUCCAACACAUCUUCCAUGUCGUAGGAUGCGUCUCUGAGCUGAUCCAGCCAAAGAGUAACAGCUUUGUCCUGCUUCAUUUGCCUCUGCUCUGCAUCUUACAGUACAGCUUGAAUGACUUGAAGAUUGGUAGUAAGCUUUCCCACUUCUUGUUCGACACCCGUCACAAGCCUCCACUUUUCUUUCACCUGAUCUUGAGCAAUGGAUUUCAGCUGGUCCAGGAGAGAGGAAACGAUCGCAUGAGCCAUUCAGAGGAAAGUAGGUUUUAUGUAUUCUGUGAGAAUGUUCAUUCAAGCAUGUUUGCAUUCUUCUUAUACCAUAUGAGAUAUUUAAUUUUUACCCUCGAGUCAAUGUCAAUAAUUGUACAGCGUCUGCCCUGUUUCUCUGAUUCAUAAUAAUUCAUUGUUAAUUCUGCAGAGUACACAGCGUCAGCACUUGUGAAAUUUCUUACAUUUGUAAAAUCAUGCAGCCGACCCUUGUGAACUAACUAAUUAACUAAAUUUUCUUACAUUGUCAAUAAGUUAUGAUUAUUGUGAAUUUUCCAUCCCCUAUAUAAAUUCUUAGAUUUAUUUAAAUUGUGAGUCAUAGAAGUAUAUUACCUAAAUUAUUUUAUCAGGCCAUGUUCCGAUACUAGGAGUAAGUACGGAAUUGGACUAAUUUUGUGAUUAUCUAUUUAUCUCAUAUUUGAUAAGCUUAAUUGAAUUGGAUUUAGGAACCAAAUUUAAAUUUAAUCCUAAAAUUAUGGAAUUGAUAAUCCUAAUUUACGCAUAACUUUAGUUGGGAUAAAAUUAAAGAAAAAAAGUUAUCCAUUUAUGAGACUUUAAUUUAUAUCAUUAUCGUUUAUUUAUGCUUAAUAUUUAUUUAUUUUUUUUAAUUUAUGAUUUACUUAAAAUUUAUUUUUAUUUAUUAUCUAUCAUCUGAUUAAAUUAGAACUUUACUUCUACUAACUCUUGAUAUUAAUUUUUCAUUACUUGCAUAUUUGAUAAUUUGUCAAUAAAAUUAACCAUUUAAUAAUUUAUUGCAUAAUAGAUUGUAUUAAACUUACUAAUCACUAAAAAAAUAUUUAAAAUCAUCAUGAAAAUUAAUAAUACCGUCAAUUAAUUGAUUUUAUAUACUUUUUUAAAUAUUUGAUAAAAAAUAAUUAAGUAUUUAAAUUUUUAUUUCAUUUUUUUAUUUGUUUAUUUUAUUAUGGAUACCCAAUAACUUGCAAUAUAAUUAAUUUUCUUAUUCAGACUACUCAGCAUCAGCUCCUAUAAAAUUUCUUACAUUAUAAGCAACAAAAUAUUUAUAAACUACAACAAAGGGCUUAAAUCAAUCCACCGAUUAACCUUUUGAAGUUAUAUAUAAUAUAUUAACUGUUGAUCUAGAAUAGUCUUAGUGGAUAGAUUUUUUUUAAUUAUAAAUAUCAAUAAAUUUUUUUUAUCGUUUAAUAGAUAUUGAUGAAAUUAUAUGGAGUAAUUUCGCCCAAUCAUAUAUAUUAUAACAAAAGUUGGAAAAGAGAAAAAUAAAACAAAAGUUGGAAAAAUCAUGCAGUCGUUGGGAAUUUCGAAAUUUGAGAAUUUUGCCCGUAGCUACAGGCUGCAGCGAUUUUUGACUUUCAUGAUGCAAACAAACCAAUCAUCAUUAAUUUCAAUAGAAAGAAGUAUUCUAGGUGGAAUUGAUUUCUGGAGCAGAAUAUGAUGUAUUUGGGACUUCCUACUCUAUUAGAUAGGUUAAUAACAUGUUAAUUGUCACAUCAUUAAUUUUAGAUUAUAAAUUUUAUAUUCAAACUUUGUAUGACUGCUCCUUUUUCAUUUGAAAAAAAAAAAAAAAAUUAACUUCUAGCAUGAUCUAAUUAAUUGAUCUUGUUUCAAAAGAAUCAAAAAAAUAAAUAAAAUAAAAUAAAGUAAUGCCAUAAUCUAAUUGGUCUUGUUAUUGACAUGUACUAAUGCAUUCUAUAUUUCUAACUUUGUACAUUUUAUUGAUAUGUUUCUCUUGAGAGAUAAGAAUCAUUAUGUGGCAAAAUUUUAUUAAAGCUGGGAUUAUUUAUGUUCUAAUACUUUGAACAUUAAUUUUUAAUCUACUCUUUAGAAUACAAAAAUAAUCCUUACCUAAACAUCUUUCAUAAAUGUUUUUUGCUGGGGCUGCUAAAAUUCAUAAUCUAAUAUUAGUUGAUGUGGCAUGUGUCCUAUCACAUAAAUGUAGAUAAUAAUAAUUAAUUCAUUAACAAAAUGAAAAAUGUUAGUUUACAAAAUACAAAUCCGAAUUUUUUGUGUGUUAGAGGGAAUUUAAAAGGGAGAGACUAAACAAAUGUGGUGACAAAUUACACGUAUUACCAAAAUUGAAAAUACAAAGUUUAGGCAACUGGAAACAUCUCUGUCAAUGGCAAUGAACCCAUUACCUCCAUUUAUAAUUAACCAAAAAUCAAAUAAAUUAAAAAAGAAAACACAAAGCAAGGAUAACUACUAGUUGUUUUGAUCAUCCCUGCUUCUUUUUCUUAGCAUAGCUCUUGUAAUGAAAAUUAACAAAAAGGGCCAAAAGGGAAGCAUUAAACACAGUAUUGAAGCACCAACCCCAAAACACAGGGAAACCAAAUCCCGUGAAAUGAUAAUUCAGCAUCAAAAUGAAAAAUGUUAUGGAUGGCUGUGAUGGGUCUGAGGAUGUGGGGUCCAAUGAGAGGUGAUGAUGAUGGUGAUGUUGAUGUUGAUGUGUGGUAGAGGAUGGAUGUGAGGGAGAGGUAAGUAAUGAUGGAGUGAAUGAGGAUGCGUGGGAAGGAAGCUAGGGUUUGGUUUUGAGUCCAUGUGAAGUUGAGGACUUGUGGGUGGCUUACAAGCAAUAUUGGAGUGUUAAGCUGAUUGAAUUUGAACAGUGCUACUCCAAUAACAUCAAUAUGGUUGAUGACCGCUCUAUCAAAUCCUUUGGAUAAAUGAAUUGACCGCUCUAAAAUAAAUGAAUGAGAUAGGAUAAAUUCGAAUAAAUUAAUCUGCAUAAUGACACAAGAAACAAAUAUAAAUUGACCGCAAGUAGAAAUAUACUUUUGUUAUAUUUAGAGCAUCUUCCAAUUUCUUUCCCUUGAGCUCUGUUUCUGCGAGUGCUCAAAAGCAAGACACAGGCCUCAAGAUAUAAUUAUCAUCAUCAAUCUUUUGCAGCCACAUGCAGUACUUGGAAAAUGUUUAUGGCCCUAAAUAACUGGAAAAUCAGAAAACAUUAAGAACAAGAGACUAAUCAUUUUAAUCGCAACAAAACAUGCACACUAUGAAAAUAUAAAAUUGAAUUACUUCGAAUGGAUGUGCCUCUUAACAGGAAUUGCACAAGCUAAUGAGCAAGUGAGCCUUCGAAUGAAAAUCUAAAUCCUUGCAGCCUGCGUCAUGCAGCUUCUCCCAAUGAGUAAGUGAACCUUGAACAGUUAUCACUCAGCUCAAACUAAAAUGAAAUUACUGUGGACAUGUGAAUUAAAAAUAGAUGUAAAAGUAGUUUUCUCAAAGCAAAGUCAAGAUAAGAGAUUAACUCUACUCCUUAUUUACAUUAAAAAUAACGAACAAUGGAAAACAGAGCUAGAGAAGAACUUACCUGUGCGUUGAGAUCAUGUGGGGAAUGUGAGAUAUCUUCUUAGAUUUGGUUUGGGAAACUCCAUCUUCUUCUGAAAGUUCUGACAGUUCCCUAAACCCAGGCCAAUACAAUUGCAACAGAAACUGCAUGCUUUAACCAGUAUCUGAUCAUCUCCUGUUAUUUCAAGACAAUAAUAACUUAAUUGCAACACUGCAUGCUUCAACCAAUAACCUUUUCGACUUCAACACUUCUUUUGUCCCCCACCCGAUGCCCUUUUCACAAUUCUAUGAAUCAGAUAAAUCAGCCUUCUUCACAAAACUAAAAUUUCGGUCCCCAUGUAGCAGAGUUUCUUAUUUUUCCUUUGUACACAAAUGCAGACACUUAAGCAAAUUAAGAUUUCUUACCUAAAGCAAAUUAGGAUUUCUUUUGAUCCUGCAAGUUACAAUUUCAGUCCCCAUGUAAUAGUAAAAAUUUGUACACAUAUUUAUAUAGCAAAUUAAUAUUUCAUACCUCACAAUAUUUAUCAUAACCAUCAAUCUUUAGAAACCACAUGCAGACUUGUUAAACUGUUUAUGGCCCAAAAUAACAGGAAAAUUAGAACAGAUUUUUAAGAAUGAGCGACUAAAUAUUUCAAUGGCAACUAAAAUUACACAUCUUGGAAAUCUGAAACUCAAGUACUCAGAACACUGUAAGUGCAUUGCAUAAUCUUGGGUAAAAAAUACACAGCAAUUAAACAAGCUGGGAACUUUAGUGCAAAUGCUUUUUCAUAAUCUUCAAUUGCAUAAGUCAGUUAGAAUCAAUCUUUCUUAAUCUUUCAAUUCACAUAUGAGAGCCUGAUAACACAAGGAAACACUGUAAGUGAAUUGUCAACUGUGACAAAUUUUGGGUAAAAAUUAUCAACUGUAGUUAUCUGCAUAACAUUUAGUGUCAACCCCAAAUUCCUUCCUGAUCCGUGGAAGCAUUUCAGCCCACAGACGGUUAGCUUUGUCAAUAUACGGCAACUCAGGAUUCUAUAUUUAAACUAUGAUGUUUGAUGACUUGCUGAUACAAAAGACAUUGCCCCAAGCACUUUUUUACAUUAGCUAAAAUCAAGCCAGUCACUUCCAUUUGUUGCAGUUUUAAUGCAGAAAGAAAAAAGGGGGAAAAAAAUCUGCAAGAUGCCACUUGUAAUACCGCAUGUUCGCAGGAGCAGAGUUAAAUAAUUACAAAAUUACAUUCUUUAUUGGCCACAAAGCUGCCUAGAAAAAGGCUUUAAAUUCUUAAUGAGACAACGUAUUCGAACAAAUAUGGUGAAUGAAGAGACAAAGGCAUAACACCUCGGGAAGUAAAGCUCUGUUUCUGUAUGUGCUCAAACCAAUGGAAACCCAUGGAAAUGAAUUUCUACGAAUUAGACAUGUCAGCCAAAACAGGUACUCUGUACAAGCAAAGUAAAAGAGAGUUACAAAAAAUUUUAAGAUAAUUAAACUUUUAGUCACCAUAUAAUUAAUAGAAAACUUUGUACACAAUGAUUUAUAUGAGAUUAAGAUUGUAUACCUAAGUUUUAAUUGCAAACUAAAUAUACACAACAUGAUAUUAGCAUUAGAAGACUGCACCAAAACGCACCGAAUUGAAUGUACCUCUUAACGGCCAUUGUACAUGCAUUGAAAGUUUACCGCAAAAGCUGUUUCAAACGUGAUGCAUCUUAGAGAUGCAAGAUGAGAAAUUGUUAUUACAACUAGCAUUGAAACAUGUGUGAAAACUGUUAAUGGACCUAAAUAACUUGAAAAUCAGAAAAGAUUAGGAAUGAGUGACUAAGCCUGCUAAUCGCAACUAAACGUGCAAACCUUGAAAAUCCAAAAUUGUACUCGAUGAAUGUGCAAUUGCUCAAGCAGGUAAAUUUCCUGCAAAGGCUCUUACAAACCCUCAAAGAUGAUACUCUACAUACCAUGGUAACCUGAGUAACAAAAAGAAACACAGUGAAUAUUAAAGGGCAUUCUGACAAUGCAAAUUUGUGUAAAUUAACAACUGCGGUUACCUGCAUAAUAGUGUCAAUACCGAAUUCCUUCCUCCAUGGAAGCAUGUGAUCAGCCCACAUGUGCUUUGCUCUGUAGCUUUUGAAUACCUGAAAUUGUUAUCACAACCAACGGUGAAAAAUGGGUGAAAAAAGGGUAAUAGUAGCAUAAUUGAAUUUGCUUAUAGAGGAUAAACCGAUCAAAGAAAAAAACAAGACAGAAAUGAUGAUCUUAGUACCUUAAUAUCAUGCAAUAAUAAUCAUCAUGCCUUCUAGGCAGCUAUCCAUCCUCAAUUGAAACAGAGCAGACCUGGCCAUCACUUUCUUCUUCAAAGUCCAGCAACUGAACGUUGCACACAACACCACAGUGGAAGUUCCAUCACCAGCCUAAUCCUUGAUUACCCCAAUGUUCUCCAUAGGGUCUUCAAAGUCAACCUAAAAAUAAAAUGAAAAUGCAAUGCAUUAUUAUUAGGGAUCUAGUGCUUGAGCUUGCUUUGACAUCAUGGUAUUAGCAAAUUCUGAUAUAGCCAAAAUGGUGAAUAAGAUGACGUACUUGAUAAGAAAAACCUGAUUUAACAAAUAAUUAAGGAGCCGGUAACAAUCACAGAAUCUCAUCAUGUGGGGAACGCCUUGGCAACAGAAGAUGGUGCUUUCAUUCAAGCAAUAGCAACUUUCCAAUUUCAUAAGGUAGUUUAAUGGCCCUUUUAAGAACAUCUGCACCAGCCUAAUAAUUAUUCAUGGAAAUUAAUAAUCAGAAUCAUGUUAGAUUGAGAGAUGAAACAUAAUAAGCGAUUUGGCCACCAUAUAUGCAUUUAUCACCUUCAAUUUGCUCAUCUUUGUCUAGAGUAUUGCUUCUGCAUUAACUUAAUUAGCUUGCAAGCCACCUGAACAUGGUUUUAAAUAAAGUGUAAGAGCUCGAAUUCGAACGAAUUAAUCAAAUAUGCUGACAGGAGAAACAAAAGUAAAUAACCACAAGAAGUAGAAAUAUACUUUUGUUAUAUUCAGAGCAUCUUCUUGCGUCAAGUUCUUUUCCUUUAGCUCUGUUUCUGUUUGUGCUCAAACGCAAUGGCUCAAGGGCCAAGAUAAUUUUAUGACCAUCAAUCUUUUUGCAGCCACAGCAGACUUGAAAAAAUGAUUGUGGCCCUAAGGAACUUGAAAAUUAGAAAAGAUUCAGAAUGAGUGACUAAAUAUUAUAAUUGAAACUAACUAAACAUUAUAAUCGAAACUAAUUAAACGCCUAGAAAAUCUGAAACUGAGCAAUUGCUUCUGGUGGAAACUUUACUGCAAGGACUUUCUCAAACCCUUGAAGAUCACACUCUACCUGAUAACAAAGAAACAGUCAAUAUACGAAGAUGAUUUUACUAACAAGUGAGUGCUUACACAUAUUGGAAGGAUAAUGAUGAUUCAUAACCCAAAUCCCCAAUACUCCCUAUUAUCUCACUCAAGUUCGAGCUCCCAGAAUUCACUACUGUGAAGCUCUCACAACAAAAUUCCCUUCAAAGAUUCUCUACUCAAAUUUGAUGAUGAUGUCCCUCCAAAGGAGGCAAAAAAUCUAACACUGAUCAAAUUGGUUUGUGAACAAUUAAUCUUCCUGGCCAUCAUGCAUACCAGGUGUGGUGAGCAAUCUUCAUUAUGACAUUUGCCUUAAUAAGCAGCUUAGUUUCCUUAACCUGAUAACUUACACAAACAAAAACAACUUGAUUAAAGUUUAAUAUUUAGAGGCAGAACAGUAAAGAAGAUGAUAUAUAUUGAUACUAAAAUUUGACCUGUGUUAUCCUGACGUCAAGAAUCACAGCAUCUCAUGUGGGCAGAAUCUUCGCAGUACAAUAUGCUUGCAAAAUUGAAGCAGCAUCUUAUCACCUGUAAUUUAAUUAAGACAAUAACUUUCCCCAACCAUUUCAAUGCAUUAUUGCCAACUAAAUUCAGAGGGUGCUAAUUAAAUAGCCUUUGAACAAUAUAUUCUUAUUCUUCUCCAAUCUAACAAUUAUUUCGAAAAUCUAAAUGACAAUCACGCAUCGAUGGCAUCAAAAUUUGGCUACAAAGCAGCCUGGAAAAGGCUUUACUCUCUGAAUGAGAGCAUGAAUUCGAAACAAAUAUGAUGAAUGAAGAAAAUAAGGCAUAAUACCACCAAAAGUAAAACUUUCUCCCAGGGCUCUAUGUUUCUGUUUGUGCUAAAACCAAUAGAAACCGAUGGAAAUGAAUUUCUAGGAAUUAGACAUAUCAGCGAAAACAGGUAUUCUGUACAAGCAAAGUAAAAUAGGGUUACCAAAAUUUUUAAGAUUGAUAUGAUACUUGAAAAAUAGGUUUGCACAGAAUUAAUUAUUCUGUCAUUGAGAUUGUUCUUUUAUAGAGAUUUCCAGCGCACAUAAAACUAUUAAAUCAGUAAACUAAAUCACUGAUUUAAGGAAAGAAUAAUUUCUAGGUAGAUUUUCCUAAAAUACAUAGAUUUGCACCUAAAUAGCUAUGUUACAGCUAAUGACUAAUUUACAGCACAUAUUUUUUCUAAUUUUCUAACACUCCCCCUCGAGCUGGUUUGAAGAUAUCCUCCAUAGCCAGCUUGCCAACUAGAAAAUUGAACUGUUUUGUGUGUAGUCCUUUGGUAAAGACAUCAGCCACUUGUUCUCCAGUAGGAAUGUGCUCCAUAUGAACCAAUCCAUUAUCUAUCUUCUCCUUGAUGAAAUGCUUGUCAAUCUCCACAUGUUUUGUGCGGUCAUGAAGGACUGGAUUGUGUGCUAUUGAGAUUGCUGCCUUGUUGUCACAGUACAACUACAUAGGAGAUGAUUUUGUCGCUUUUAACUCUUCCAACAGCCUCCUAAUCCACAUGAUCUCACAAAUGCCAUGGGUUACAGCUCUAAAUUCAGCCUCAGCACUGCUCCUAGCUACCACAUUCUGUUUCUUGCUUCUCCAAGUAACCAAAUUACCACCUACAAAUGAACAGUAUCCAGAAGUGGAUCUUCGGUCUACUUUGCAGGUAAAUUUACUGCAAAGGCUCUUACAAGCCCUCAAAGAUGAUAUUCUACAUACCAUGGUAACCUGACUAACAAAAAGAAACACAGUGAAUAUUAAAGGGCAUUCUGACAAUGCAAAUUUGUGCAAAUUAACAACUGCGGUUACCUGCAUAAUAGUGUCAAUACCGAGUUCCUUCCUCCAUGGAAGCAUAUGAUCAGCCCACAUGUGCUUUGCUCUGUAGCUUUUGAGUACCUGAAAUUGUUAUUACAACCAGCGGUGAAAAUUGGGUGAAAAAAUGGUAAUAUUAGCAUAAUUGAAUUUGCUUAUAGAGGAUAAACCGAUCAAAGAAAACGACAAGAUAGAAAUGAUUAUCUUAGUACCUUAAUAUCAUGCAAUAAAAAUCAUCAUGCCUUCCAGGCAGCUAUCCAUCCUCAAUUGAAACAGAGCAGACCUGGCCAUCACUUUCUUCUUCAAAGUCCAGCAACUGAACGUUGCACACAACACCACAGUGGAAGUAGUUCCAUCACCAGCCUAAUCCUUGAUUACCCCAAUGUUCUCCAUAGGGUCUUCAAAGUCAACCUAAAAAUAAAAUGAAAAUGCAAUGCAUUAUUAUUAGGGAUCUAGUGCUUGAGCUUGCUUUGACAUCAUGGUAUUAGCAAAUUCUGAUAUAGCCAAAAUGGUGAAUAAGAUGAUGUACUUGAUAAGAAAAACCUGAUUUAACAAAUAAUUAAGAAGCCGGUAACAAUCACAUAAUCUCAUCAUGUGGGGAAUGCCUUGGCAACAGAAGAUGGUGCUUUCAUUCAAGCAAUAGCAACUUUCCAAUUUCAUAAGGUAGUUUAAUGGCCCUUUUAAGAACAUCUGUACCAGCCUAACAAUUAUUCAUGGAAAUUAAAAUUCAGAAUCAUAUUAGAUUGAGAGAUGAAAUAUAAUAAGCGAUUUGGCCACCAUAUAUGCAUUUAUCACCUUCAAUUUGCUCAUCUUUGUCUGGAGUAUUGCUUCUGCAUUAACUUAAUUAGCUUGCAAGCCACCUACAAAUGGUUUUAAAUAAUGUGUGAGAGUGUGAAUUCGAACGAAUUAAUCAAAUAUGCUGACAGGAGAAACAAAAGUAAAUAACCACAAGAAGUAGAAAUAUACUUUUGUUAUAUUCAGAGCAUCUUCUUGCGUCAAGUUCUUUUCCUUUAGCUCUGUUUCUGUUUGUGCUCAAACGGAAUGGCUCAAGGGUCAAGAUAAUUUUAUGACCAUCAAUCUUUUUGCAGCCACAUGCAGACUUGAAAAACUGGUCGUGGCACUAAGGAACUUGAAAAUUAGAAAAGAUUCAGAAUGAGUGACUAAAUAUUAUAAUCGAAACUAAUUAAACAUACACGCCUAGAAAAUCUGAAACUGAACUUCUCAAAUGUAUAUGCCUCUUCGCAGCAAUUGCUUGUGGUGGAAACUUUACCGCAAGGACUUUCUCAAACCCUUGAAGAUCACACUCUACCUGAUAACAAAGAAACAUAGUCAAUAUACGAAGAUGAUUUUACUAACAAGUGAGUGCUUACACAUAUUGGAAGGAUAAUGAUUACUCAUAACCCAAAUCCCCAACACUCCCUAAUAUCUCACUCAAGUGAGUACGAGCUCCCAGAAUUCACUACUGUGAAACUCUUACAACAAAAUUCCCUUUAAAGAUUCUCUACUCAAAUUUGAUGAUGAUGUCCCUCGAAAGGAGGCAAAAAAUCUAACACUGAUCAAAUUGGCUUGUGAACAAUUAAUCUUCCUGGCGAUCAUGCAUACCAGGUGUGGUGAGCAAUCUUCAUUCUGACAUUUGCCUUAAUAAGCGGCUUAGUAUCCUUAACCUGAUAACUUACACAAACAAAAACAACUUGAUUAAAGUAUAAUAUUUAGAGGCAGAACAGUAAAGAAGAUGAUAUAUAUUGGUACUAAAAUUUGACCUGUGUUAUCCUGACGUCAAGAAUCACAGCAUCUCAUGUGGGCAGAAUAUUCGCAGUACAAGAUGCUUGCAAAAUUGAAGCAGCAUCUUAUCACCUGUAAUUUAAUUAAGACAAUAACUUUCCCCAACCAUUUCAAUGCAUUAUUGGCAACUAAAUUCAGAGGGUGCUAAUUAAAUAGCCUUUGAACAAUAUAUUCUAAUUCUUCUCCAAUCUAACAAUUAUUUGGAAAAUCUGAAUGACAAUCAUGCAUCGACGACAUCAAAAUUUGGCUACAAAGCAGCCUGGAAAAGGCUUUACUCUCUGAAUGAGAGCAUGAAUUCGAAACAAAUAUCAUGAAUGAAGAAACAAAGGCAUAAUACCACAAAAAGUAAAACUUUUCCCAGGGCUAUCUGUUUCUGUUUGAACUAAAACCAAUGGAAACCGAUGGAAAUGAAUUUCUAGGAAUUAGACAUAUCAGCCAAAACAGGUACUCUGUACAAGCAAAGUAAAAUAGGGUUACAAAAAAUUUUAAGAUUGAUAUGAUAAUUAAAAUUUCAGUCACCAUAUAAUUAAUAGAAAACUUUGGACACAAUGAUUUAUUGCAUAUUAAGAUUGCUAUAUAAAAUAUAAUAUUAGCAUUAGGAGACCGCACCGAAGCAUACCGAAUUGAAUGUGCCUUUUCACAGCCAUUUUACAAGCUUUGAAGCUUCACCACAAAUGCUUUUUCCAACCCGUGAACAUGGUGCACCCGAGAGAUGCAAGCUAUGAAAUUGUUACUACAGCAAGCGUUGGAACAUUUGUUAAAAAAGGAAGUUUAUGAAAAUACGCCUUUGGAUACCAGUCUUCAGGAAUCAAUUCAUCCGUAAUAACAAUUUUCAAGAAUUAUCAACUGCUUUAAGCUCAUCGACAUCACAAAGAUCUCAACUAAAAUAGAGCAGAUCCGGCCAUCACUAUCCCUUCUACUGCUCUUUUCCUUUAGAGAAUGAUUGAAUUACAGAAUGCGUGUAAGGCAUUCUUAUUCAAGGUCCAAUGAUCAAACCUUGCACUAUAACAACAGAGGUAGUAGUUUCUUCGCCAGCCUAAUCCUUGGUCUCAGGAAUGUCCUCAACAGAGUACUCGAAAUCAACCUAAAAAUUAAGAAUGAGUUGGAAAACUGUUUAUGGCCCUAAAGAACUUGAAAAUAAGAAAAGAUUAAGAAUGAGUGACUAAACAUUUAAUCGCAACUAAACAUACAAACCUUGAAAAUCUAACUUUGAAGUACUCUUGAAUGAAUGAGCAGUUGCACGAGCUGGUGACAACUAAGGUUACUGUGAAGUCUCUUACAAAUCCUUAAAGAUGAUACUUUACAUACCACGAUAACCUGAUAACACAUAGGAACACAAUAAACAUUAAAGUGUAUUCUGACAAUGCAAAUUUGUGGAAAUCAUCAGCUGUGGUUACCUGGACAAUAUUGCCAACACCAAACUCCUUCCUCAAUUGAAACAUAUGAUCAGCCCACAAAUGCUUUGCUUUGUAGCUUUUGAGAGCCUGAAAUUGUUAUCACAACCAACAAUGAAAAUUGGGUGAAAAAAUUGAUAAUAUUAGCUUAAUUCCAUAUGUUUAUAUAGGAUAAACCGAUCAAAGAAUGAAAAAAGAUAGAAACAGAGCAGACCCAGCCAUCACUUUCUUCUUCAAAGUCGCACCAUAACCACAGUGGUAGUCGUUCCACUGCCAGCCUAAUCCUUGGUCACCCCAAUGUUCUCCAUGAAGUAUUCAAAGUCAACCUAAAAAUAAAUAAAAAUGCAAUGCAGGUGGAAAUGAAAAUUCUAUAAAUUAAAUAAAAUAAAAAUGCAAUGCUUGAGCUUGAGCUUGCUUUAGCAUCAUCGUAAUAGUAAAUUUUGAUAUAUCUUUACUUCUCUGUUCUUGUUUAUUCACAACAAGAUAUCAAUAGAAGAAGAUGGAAAUGAAAUUCUAUAAAAUAAAGCAAGUGAAUUACCAACAGAACAUUUUAGCAAUCCUUUGGCUAAACUUUUCAUUUUCUUAGCAUACUCUCCUGCCUGGUGAACAUAAUUAAACAAGUAUGAAAUAAAACAAAGUGGGCUAAUGUAGUAAAAACAAUAACACAAUUACUUUAAAGAAUUAAUGUCACGUAUAUUAUAUAUAAAAAAAUACGAUUAUCAUUAUAUAAGAUAAAAUUGAUAAUUUAGUUUUCAACAUUACUGCAAACGUAUCACAGAGAUUUUGUUACACAUAACAAAUUUUCGUACAUAUGAAAAUAAAUUACAUUGCAUGAAAUUUUACAAAAGAGCACAUAUUUUUUAAAAGUAAAUAAAUAUAGAAAUUUCAACAGACUACACUUGUAUUUUUUUUUAAUUAUUUAAUCUUUAGAAAACAAGUUUAACAGAUUUGAUAACUAGGAAGUUUUACGUAUUUAUACCAUGAUUGAUUCUAUAUAGAAUUUUAAUUCAAAAUAUAAUUAUUUUUAUUAAUUUCAUUGCAAGCAACAACGAAGUAAAUUAGAGGAGGAGGAGAAAUUACCGGCGAGUGAUAAAUUACCGCGACCACUUGAUGUGGGGAAUGCGAGAUAUCUUAUGCCAGUCUUCUCCUUUCCCCUCUCUAUAACGGUUUUCCAGAAGAGGACAUCUGUCAAUAGUCAAUUCCUGCAGCGUCGUCGUCCGAAGAAGGUAAUCCGGCAGCACCUUUAAUUUGGGGCAAUACUCAAUUACCAAGGAAGAAAGACGUGGUAUGUCUGUUGUCCUGUGAUCUUCUAGAAUGGGCAGUUCUUCCAUAUUUGCACAAAAAGAAAUCCUCAGUUUCUGCAGUGCCGUCGUUCGAAGAAGGUAAUCCGGCAGCGCCUUCAAUUUGUUGCAAGAACGAACUUCCAAGGAAGAAAGACGGGGCAUGAUAGAGAUGUUUUCCUUCCUCGUAAUCCUGUAAUUCCACUCUUCCAAUUCUUCCAUGUCCCAAAUUAUGAGUGAUUUCAAUUUGGGGAAGGCAGUAACUGAUGAUGAUGAUGAAGAUGAAGACGGGCCAUCCUCACUGCUUUCUUCUAUUCCCAAAAACUCAUUACCCACUCUUUUUACACUUUUCAAGUACCAUAGUUCGAGUUUUUCCAGAGGCAAUUUUCCCAAAGGAGGCAAAUGCUCACACUUAAGGCACGAGCGAAGAUAUAAAUUCCUUAGAUUGGUCAGUGAAGUCAACCAUUUGGGAAAAAUGUUGCGUCCAUAUAAUAUAAUCCCUAAUUUCUCUACACUCAAAGGCGGUUGUAAGGCUUUAAGAAGUUGUUCAUCUUUCUCUUUCUUCCUCCUCCUUUCUUCAUCUUCCCCAUCUACGACUCUACCAAACUCAAGACGCAAACGAAGGAGGUUUUGCUGAUUGUAAAGUUGUAAUCUCUCGACCUCAUCUAAACGGGACACAUUACCCAGCCCUUCAAUUCCACAUUCUCGAAGGAGUUGAAGAUUUUUCAGAGAUUCAAGCCUACAAGUAUUGCUACCAUCAACACCUCCACCCACCACAAACUUGUCUAAUGUUCGAAGACUGGUUAAUUUGGAAAUCCCUACUGGCAUGUAUUUCAACGAAUAAGUUUCAGCAUUCAGUAAACUCCUCAUGUUCUUUAACUUCCCAAUCCCCGCUGGCAAUUCUUUAAGAUUUCGGCACCGCCUAAUAUCUAGCUUUUGUAAAUUAUAUAAUUCACACAAAGUCUUAGGUAGUCUCUCUAUGCCUAAUUCAGACAAAUUAAGAUAUCUUAAAUGUAUCAAUUUUCCGACAUUUUUUGGAAUUUCUCUAAUCAAACUUGAGUGAAGACGAACAGGCGAGGAUGAUAGCCUUAUAACUAAUGAUUCCCUUAUAACUAAUGCCCUCAAACAUGCCAAUUUACUAAAUAACUUUCGAGUUUCUCUAAUCUUAUAUGUGUUUGGACAAAAACAUAGGCGCAACAGCCUUAUAACUAAUGCCCUUAAACAUUCUUUGCUACUACUAAAAGACGAAAGGAUGCUACUAAGAGACAGAUUGAAAUCACUUCUAUCAUAAAUUAAAAGGGUACGCAAUCUAUCAAGUCCACGAAUGGAUAUAGGAAAUGAAGUGCCUCUUUGAAAAUUUAACCCUAAGUGACGGACUUUGUCACCAAAAGAGUUUAUGACUGAGUCUUUGGUACCAUUAAUUUCUACCCACAAACAUUCUUUUCUACUUACAAAUUGGGCAAAAUCAUGUAUUAUGUCAUGCAUCUUGCAGCUCAUAAUAUCAUCAUCAUCAUCUUUUUUAAACUCUUGAAAGAAAGAGCGUGCUGCUAAAAUGUUGAAAUACUCUUCCCCAAUCAUCUCCAUCUCUUCGUCUUCUUCUGUAUUAAGAUAACCUUGAGCCAUCCAUAGUGAAAUUAGUUCCUCUUUAUUCAUAUUGUAGUUUUUUGGAAAGACAGCACAAUAUGAGAAACAUUGUUUUACCAUAGAAUUGGAGGGCAAAUCGUUAUAACUCAACAACAAAGGAGCUAAAAGACCUUGCCCAAUUGCUUCUACUUUCCACAUUUCACUCUCUAAAAUUCUUUGCCACUCUUUUACUGUACUUUUAGAGCGCAAGAGAUUCCCUAUUACCUUUGCAGCAAGAGGCAGGCCUUUGCACUUAUGUGCAAUUUUGCGCCCGAUUGGUUCUAAUUUUUCACGAUCCUCAAAGGACCUACGUAGAAAUGCCAUCUGCUUAAACAGUAACCAACAUUCCCCUUCUCCCAACUCCUUGACAGGGAUAAUAUCUAUUGAUCCCAACUGUAGUGCAACUGACCUAUCACGUGUGGUAAUUAGAAUUUUACUUUCAUGGUGGCCAUUCUUUAGACAAGAAAAGAAUGGGUCCCAUUUUUUGUAAUCUACAUCCCACACAUCAUCUAAAACAAGAAAAAACUUUUUUCCUUCAAUUGAUGUAUGGAUAUGGCUCAUAAGAGAUUGGAAUUCGCUUAAAUCAUAAGCUUCUUUUGACUUGCCUAGACCUUCAAUGAUUGCUUUGGCAACCCUAAUCCUCUCAAAAGUGUCUGAUACACACACCCAUAUAACUUUUUCAAAAUUUCUUUUCACCUCAUCAUUAUUAUAGGCCAGUUGUGCAAGAGUGGUUUUACCUAUACCCCCUAACCCAACUAGUGAGAUGAUAUGAAGGCCUUCUUGUUGUUCACUACUUUGACACAACAACUUGCUUAAGAGCUCAUCUUUCUCAUUAACUCUACCGCAAACCUCUCCCUCAUCAAUCAAGGAGGUGGUUCGCACUCGCUCUGGUUUCUUGACAUUGUUACUCACAUUCUCAACAAAUUUAAACAUAUCUUUUCGAGUGGCAAUACCAUCUAGCUUUUCAUUGAUUUCCCUAAUCUUGACAGCAAUGUCAUGACGAAGACUGAGUUGUUUGAAACUGCCACAGCAGUUUGAUACAGCACAAAAGAAGGAACGUACCUUCUUCUUAUGAACGCCCUCAAUCUGCAAUUUGAGCCUUGCAGUGGUCCACUCCUCCAACACAUCUUCCAUGUCGUAAGAUGCGUCUUUGAGCUGAUCCAGCCAAAAAGUAACAUCUUUCUCGUGCUGCAUUUGCCUUUUCUCUGCAUCUUCCAGCACAAGUUGAAUGGCUUGUAGAUUGCUGGUGAGCUUUUUCACUUCUUCGUCGACACCAGUAACAAGCCUCACCUGUUGUUUCAGUUCAUCAGUUGCAACUGAGCUCAGCUGCUCCAGGAGAGAGGAAACGAUCGCAUCAACCAUUCUGACAAAGAAGAUGAGAAUUCUGAAGAGUUAUUAGAUGUGCUUUUGUUGCGAAGAUAUGAAAGAAAGGAGUUAUUGCAUUCUUUUAUACUGCAUAGAAAAGGUUUAUGCUUAUCCCCACCCCACACGUCAAUGAUUGUAGAAUGUUUAAUUUCCCUGAUUCUACUCCACUAGUUGUGAUGCGUAAUUAUAAAUAUUCUCAAGUUAUGUAUGAAAAUCCCACAAAUUUGGAUCUAGUAAUGAUUUUUAUGUAUUUUUUCAUAAUCUUCUAAAAUACUAUAUCUGCAUGUUAUUUCGUGCAGAAAUAUGGCAUUGGGUGAAAAAAGUUAUGCUUAUCCCCACCCACACGUUAGUAAUUGUAGUAGCAUCUGUAAUUUCCAUGAUUCUACUCCACGGACGAACACAUUUUUUGUACUAACAUCUUUAAAUUCCCACACGUUAGGAAUUUGGCACAUAAUCUCAAACUCGUCGCAUCUUUAACGUAUGAGGUUGAUGAAUAAAUUCUUUUCUCAUAUCAAUUUAAAACUCCGAGAUUAUGUGCCAAAUUCCUAACGUGUGGGAAUUUUACCUCCUAAGUAAUCCGGCCCACUGCCAAGUGCCAACUUUUUCUCUGUCGAGUUAAUGAUGUUGUUUUGUUUUCCUUGUUUUAAUUAAUGUUGCGGAGAGAAACAGAUCGAUGCAAAUGGCUAGCCAGGUUUUGCAGAAACCGUGAAUGGUCUUGCAUGCAUGUGACAUAAAGCUUUAUAUAUAGCUUAUUCCUCCAUCAACAUUUCAAUGGUUCCAUCUCACGUGCACUUGGCUAUGAAUAAGGUCCAUGCAUGGAUCGAUCGAUUUAGGAGUUUGGACCAUCUCAUGCUGCAGAGUUAUGUGUCAUGUAUGUGUGUUGACACUUGCCAGUUCAUUUUUGUUAUAAAGAUUAUUGAUACUCGUAAAUGUACUACUUACAAAUCAUAAAUUUUGAGUUUGACACUUUAGUUUCAUUUUGUAAUCCCUACGCUCUUUAAAUAUUUGUAAUAAUAUAUUUCAAACUUUAACUCAGACGUAAUGAAUGAAGGGGGAUCCUCUUCUUAUAUAAAUUUUUAUUUUUUAACGUUCAAGUUACAUUUGAUUACGUGUACUUAUUAUCUAGUUUUGACUAUCUAAUGACAUUUGAUUACGUGUACUUAUUAUAUGAUUUUUUUUUAAAUGAUGGGUCUGGUGAGAUUUUUUACAUCUUGGAUUAGUAGGUCAAGAACGGGCAGGGCAGGGCCUUCUCUGAAGUCAAUCUUGUGAGCAACACCAGCUUUUUGGAUAAUUGGCAGCCCCAAUUCAUAAUUUUCUCAGUUGAUGUCCAUGGCCAAAAUCUGCAACCGAAGCUUAUUCUACUCUUAUUAAUCGAGAGAUAAUUUUAUCUCUAACUAAUUUAAUUGGGAGGAAAAUUGAGAGAGAUAUCCACUCUGUCCUUAUUAAUUGAGAGAUAAUUUUACCCUUACCCAAUUUAAUUGGAAAGGAAAUCGAAUUCCAACAAUAACUAGGACUUGAAUCCAUGCACUUAAGCUAACUUUAAGUUUUAGGAUGCAUGGUUAUAAUGUUCUUUAUUUAAAUCCUAACAAAUGGUGGGACUUGAACUUGUGCCUACAAACAUUGAGUGCUUAGGGGCUGCAAAAUUUCAUAACUUAAUUUUAGUUGAUGUGGUAUGUGCCCUAUCACAUAAAUAUGUAGAUAAUAAUAAUUAAUACAUUAACAAAAUGAAAAAUAUUAGUUUACAAAAUACAAAUCCAAAUUUUUUGUGUGACAAGGGACUUAAAAGGGAGAGACUAAACAAAUGUGGUGAAAACGACAUGUAUUACUAAAACUAAAAAUACGAAGUCUAGGCAAUUGAAAACAUCGGGUUUUUUAUUUAAAUAUCCCCAAUUUGUCCUUAAAUACCAAAUUUAUACCCUAUUAUAUACAUAUACCUCACGAAGAUAGGGAAAAUAAAAAAUAACCUUAAAAAAAUCAAGAAUCCACACAUUUCUUCCUCUCAGUGCAGGAAGAUGUCGAGUACGAAGUCGGGUAAGUCGAGAAUUUAGUCGAGCAAGAAUUGGAGAUAAGUAAGUUGAGUAUAUGGUCCAGUAGGAAGUUGAGUAAGCAUAUUAAAUGAGUCCAGUAUUAAGUGGUAGAGUAUUAAGUAAAAGUCAAGUAAAUUUUUUAAACAAGUCAAAUAAAAUUUAUGUAAUUUUUAAAGAGGUUGAGUAUUAAGUCGGGUUAGUACAUUGGGUCGAGUGUUAAUAUUUUUAAAGAAGUGAAGUCUGGUAAGUUGAGCAUUCAGUCGAGUAAGAAGUUAAGGCAAUUGAAUAAGUCGAGUCUCUAGUCGAGUACGAAGUCGGGUAUAAAGUCUGGUAAGUUGAGCAUUCAGUCGAGUAAGAAGUGAAGGCAAUUGAAUAAGUCGAGUGUCUAGUCGAGUACGAAGUUGGGUAUGAAAUCUGGUAAGUUGAGCAUUCAGUCGAGUGAGAAGUGAAGGCAAUUGAAUAAGUCAAGUAUCUAGUCGAGUACGAAGUCGGGUAUGAAGUAUGGUAAGUUGAGCAUUCAGUUGAGUAAGAAGUGAAGGCAAUUGAAUAAGUCGAGUACGAAGUCGGGUAUGAAAUAUGGUAAGUUGAGCAUUCAGUCGAGUGAGAAGUUAAGGCAAUUGAAUAAGUCGAGUAUCUAGUUGAGUACGAAGUCGGGUAUGAAGUUUGGUAAGUUAAGCAUUUAAUCGAGUAAGAAGUGAAGGUAAUUGAAUAAGUCGAGUAUCUAGUUGAUUACGAAGUCGGAUCUGAAGUCUAGUAAGUUGAACAUUCAGUUGAGUAAGAAGUGAAAACAAUUGAAUAAGUCGAAUAUCUAGUCGAGUAAAAAGUCGAGUAAGUAGAUUGAAUGAGUAGGGUAUUAAUUUUUUGUUGGCAUUUUAUUGAGGCUAUUUUUGUACUUUCUUUGGUUUUUUAAGUAUGUAUAUGCAAAGUACAGAUUUUAAUAGAUGGAUGUAUAUUUUGGGUAUUACGAGAGAAACGGGGUAUAUCCCACGCAAUUCCUUCGAAAACAUCUCUGUCAAUUGCAAUGAACAGAUCACAACCCUUCAUAAUUAAACAAAAUCAAACUUGAAAAAAAAAAUCACACACACACACACAAAACAAUCACAAAAACUAUUUGUUCUGAUCAUCCCUGCUUUUUUUUAGCGUAGCUCUUGGAAUGAAAAUUAACAAAAAGUGUCAAAAGAGAAGCAUUAAACACAGCAUUGAAGCACCAGCCCAAAAUCCCAGAGCAACCAAAUCCCGUAAAAUGAUAAUACAGCAUCAAAACCGAAACAACAAAACUAAACACAAACUGAACAAUCUAACAAUCAGUGACCAAUCUCUUCCACUUUGGCCGCAACCCCAUCACACACAAUAGAUAGUACCCGUACAUGAUCACAUGCACACUUGCAUUAGUCACAAGUGCAAUAGGAAACAAAGACUGCUUCGUCUGUAACCAAAGGUAGCACAUUACGACGACGGUUGCAUGGUGGUAGACGUGGAGGAACGUGAGCCAUUGGAUGGAUUUUGACAAAAUGAUCAAAAGGGUGUCUAAGAAUUCGAGUAUUUUGGAGAGGUAGAAGAGGUAAGCGUAGAAGAAGAGGGGGCCAGACGGAGAAAUGGUGGGGGGGAAACAGAGGGUGUAAUGGAGGUGGGGCAAAUGGACGAUGAUGGAGAGAGUGCAGCCAACGGCCAUGAUGAGGGAGAGGAGGAGGAGGGUGAGGUUAUGGACGGCUGUGAUGGGCUUGAGGAUGUGGGGUCCAAUGAGAGGUGAUGAUGAUGGUGAUGUUGAUGUUGAUAUGUGGUAGAGGAUGAAUGUGAGGGAGAGGUAAGUGAGGAUGGAGAGAAUGAGGAAGUGUGGGGAAGAAGCUAGUGUUUGGUUCUGAGUCCAUGUGAAGCUGAGGAUUUGGGGGUGGUUUACAAGACAAUAUUGGAGUGUUGAGGUGAUUGAAUUUGAAGCCAUGGCUAGUUUUUGGGGGAAGAAAGAUUUUGGAAGAGAUGAUGUUGAGAUGAACGGGGGAGUUUAUAAAGUUUUGGGAUAAUGUGGAGGGUAUUUUGGACAUAUUGUUGUCUCAGCUUAAAUUUUGGGAAAAAGAUGAUCAAUAAGAAGCUCUUUUUUUCAUAUCAAUUUAAAACUCCGACGGUGUUUCCAAAAAUUGUUUUUCUUUUUCCGUUUUUUAAUUUUAAAUCAUAAAUUUAGUAAAAGAAGUUGAAUCAAGUGAUCACUUUUUUUUUAAUGUAAAACAAUUAAUUUCUUUUGUGAUUUAAGCAAAUAUUGAGUUGCAUACUUUAAAUAUAUUAAUAUUUGAUUCGAAAUUUCAUCUACCGAAACUACAAAAAUUAAUAUUUUCUAUUAAAUCAAAACCAAAAUUAAAGAUGACUCCUUGUCUGCCAACUGUCAUUAAACAAAGCCAUCACUCACGUGAAAAAAAAAAGUGAUAUAUUCAUUUUAACGUAAUUUCAUACCAACAUAUCAUUCUUUUUUUUCCAAUAAUGACCUCUUUAAUUAUAAAAUAUGGUAAAAGGGGAUGGGUUCGAGGUAUGGCGUCCGGGCCUUUGUGACAACGGUAUCUUUGGACGUGGGUGUCGUUAGAUUUUUGGCUAUUUUCUGGUCAAUCAAACUGGUGGAUCACAUGCAUUUUAAUGACCUCUUUAAUUAUAAAAUAUGGUAAAAGGGGAUGGGUUUAAGGAAUGGCGUCCAGGCCUUUGUGACAAAGUUGGAUGUGGGUGUCAUUAGACUUUUGGCUAUUCUGCUCAAUCAAACUCGUGGAUUACAUGCACUCAACGCGGACAUUAUGGAAAUGGGAGAAAAUUAUGUUAGUAAUAGCAUCUUCAAAAGUUUCUAUACAUUUUACUCUUUAAAUAUUUAUUUACUUAUUUAUAUGAUAAAUAGAAAGGUAAAAAAAUAUAUUAUUCUCCAAAAAACUCUUCAAAUAAAAAUAAGUUAAUAUUAUUUUAAUCAAAUAAUUAUUUUUUAAAGGAAAAGUUAACAGCAAUUAAAGCACUUCUCUUUCUCUCUCUAAUAAAAAGUAAUAAAAUAUUAAUUGAAGUGUUUUUUAGAACCUUAAAUGUUGAUGUGACUCUUCAAAUAAGUAAUAAAAUCUUAAUUGAAGAGCCUUUUGGUGAUGGUUUAAAACCCACUGUUUCGUUCUAAACUAAGUGAAUUUAUCUCGUGAGCUAAGUAGUUUAGGAGAUAACUCAAAUAAUUAACUUUUUAUUAGUUUAAUAAUAAGAAUUUUCGAUUAUAUUUUAAAAGUAUAAUUCAUUACAAAAAAUUACUUAAUAAAAAUAACUGUUAUUUAACAUAUUACAUUUUUUCAAUAAUAAAAUAAUUCAAAUUUUUAAUUAUUAUAACAAAAAAAUUUGUAAUAUAAUCCAUUCAUAUACCACAUCACGUAAAAUGUAACCUAGUACUACAUGUAAUCUUGUUACUACUAUUCCUAUAAUAUUCUACCACAUCAUAUACUAUCAAAUUCCAUCCGGCAUGCCAAAUGUGCAAAGUUUGAGUAAGACUUGUUAAAGUUGAGUAACAUCUUAUAUGGCCAAGCGCAUUGAGUAUGGAUUUGCAUGAUCGAGUGAGUACAACUAAAGUCGGGUAGAGUCUGGAAAAUCCCUAUAAUGUUGAGGUUGGAGAACUAUACUUUUUAAGGUACAUAAUUAAACAAUUUUGGUAAAUAUUUACUAUUAUAACUUAAAAAUUAAUUUGAUUUGAUCUCAUAUAUUAUUAUAAUAAAAAAACUUAUAAUAUCUUUAUUAAUUUUAUUAAAAAUUAUUAUUUAGAAGUCAUAUAUUUAUUACACAUUGUCAAAUUUCAGCUUUUUGUUUUUAACAACAGCUAGUAAUAUCAAACAAGACCUAAGUUGAGUAUGAUCAAUUAAUUAAAAUUAUGAUUUUUUUUUGUAUAAAAUAAUCAUUAGAUAAUUAGUCUGUAAAGAAUAUCGGCUACUUCAAAUGGAAACUUGCGAUAAAAAAUGCAUCACAAAAGUAACAAUGACACACUAUAUAAGAAAUCUGAAAUAGAAUUUGCAAAAUUGAACUGAGUUACGGAGAGUAAAUAAGACUCCAAAGGAACAUGGCAAUUAUUAUUAUCUAGGAAACAAUUCAUAGCUAAAACAAAAUUAACUAUACUUGCCAGGAAAUAUGGCGAAUUCCACCACCUCCUACAAGUUCUUAGGUGUCUUAGAGUUUGAUGACGACUUCCAUGCUGUGUCUCUUCGACAGGCAGCAAAAUUGGGCAAUUGACUACAUUAACUCCAAGAAAUUUAUGCAGUCACCUUCCUCCGGACUAUCCUCUUUCUUUGAGCUUUGGUUGCCCCUAUUUCCCCUUCAAUAGAGUCAUCACUGUUUUGUUUGAAGCCAAGGAGCCCAAGAUCAGAAAAAUGGCAUUCUUUGGUAUCAAUCCCUCGAUCCCCAAGUCACGUCACUAACUUUCUGUUGAUCGCGUAGCUAGUUCAUGUAUGCCACAGCAGCGGAAGGUAGCCUGAAGAAGAAAAAACCUCUCUCUCUUUCUUGCUCAGUAACCACCUGGGCACUUUUGUGCUGAGCCAUGACAUCCUGAGAUGGCCUGUUGUGUAAGCCUUCUUCAAAAGGUCAUCUGUCGAUCUUUCUCCUAAUUAGACAUCCAAAACCCAGCAUGGAAUCCAUUUGAGAAGGUGGACAAUAGACAAACUCCAACGCAUACAGACAGUAAAGAAGAAUUUAGACCGCAAUCACUGUGGCUGAAUAAAUGGGCCUAUUAAGCCUAUUAAAAGUUGGAACCAUAUUCACCACUCGCAGUUCCUUAGAGAACUUUAUCAGAAUUCUGAAAAUUUAAAACUAUUCUUACAUAUUUAACUGUAAAACAAGAGAAAUUGUACUUCCGUAGCAAAGUCUCACUAUUGGUAAGUAUCUGGACUUGGAAAGGAUGCUAGUUGAUUAAGUAAAGGAAAAUUGAAAUCAGACUUUGAGGUGAUAGAUCUAUAUACACUUUAAUCGGAACCACAUUAACAUCAUAUGAGCCAAACAAACAAAUUCCCCAGUCAAAGUUCAACAAACAAAACAUUAAAACAAGAGUAAUUUGGUGUAUCAAUGUAUAUAUAGAGAUGUCGAUCAUUGACAAAUACGUAAAAGAGGGAGGGAGAGACCUCAAAGCCGUGCUUAACAACAUUGCUACUCCAAUAACUUCAAAAUGGUUGGCGACGUCUCUAUCAAAGCCACACAAUAGCUGAUAUCUCAUGUUUGCAUGUAGUCCAAUGAAAGCACCAUAACCAAGAACAUUAGUACUCACAGAUGGGUUUGUCACAGAUAACCUGUCAGGCAAUAAAAAUUGCCCAAAUUAAACAAAUGUUAGACCGGCUUAGACAGUAAACGGAACAAUAUUCUAAUUUUACUUUAUUUAUAACGAAUAAGUGAACAAAGGAAUGAAAAGGAAGUUUGGCAACAGUCUUUUUACCAGCCAGAUAGUUUGACAAAGAAUCUUGCACUGCUCCUGCAGCUAAUCCCACCAUACACAACUCUGCAGUCUUGUUUGGGAGUCAAAAUUCUCAAAAUGGGUAACUCUGUUCAAAUAUACUGUUUGGGAACUUUUGUAAUGUAUUUUGCAAGUCAAACAGGAAGGUAUUUCCAUAAGAAGGUUCACUUCACAUGCUCAACAAUUCAAAUUUGCGGAUGAUAUUUCUCAAAAUGGAGGGCUCUAUUUGGCUUGCCAACAAUCUUCCUCACCAUUAUCAUCCUUGCUAUACCGGUUAAACUGAACAGUCUUCAUUCUGACAUUUGCCCUAUUAACCUGAGUACACAAGAAUCCGAAACAACUGUUAGAAAUUAUAAUCUUUAUAUAUAGCCAAAAUGUUGAAUAAGAUGAUGUACUUGAUAAUAAAUACCUGAGUUAAUAAAUAAUUAAGGGGCCGGUAACAAUGUCAGCAUCUUAUCAAGUGGGGAAAGCCUACGCAACGAAGAUGCUGCCUGCUUUCAAGAAAUAAUAACUUUCCAAUUCCAUAAGGUAGGUUAAUGCCCUUUUAAAAAUAUCUCCACCAGCCUAACAAUUAUUCAUUGAAAUGUGUGAGUGUGAAUUCGAACGAAUUAAUCAAAUAUGAUGACACGAGAAAGAAAAUUAAAAUAACCACAAGAAGUAGAAAUAUACUUUUGUUAUAUUUAGUGCAUCUUCUGUGUGUGCUCAAACGCAAUGCCUCAAGGCGCAAGAUAAUUUUAUGACCAUCAAUCUUUUGCAGCCAUAUGCAGACUUGAAACAUUGGCGGUGGUUCUAAGGAACUUGAAAAUUAGAAAAGUUUCAAAAUGAGUGACUAAAUAUGAUAAUCGAAAUUAAUUAAAUAUACACGCCUUGUAAAUAUGAAACUAAAUUACUCAAAUGUAUGUGCCUCUUCGCAGCAAUUGCUCGUGGUGGAAACUUUACUGCAAAGACUUCCUCAAACCCUUGAAGAUCACACUCUUCCUGGCAACAAAGAAACAGAGUCGAUAUACGAAGAUGAUUUUACUAACAAGUGAGAGCUUGCAAAUAUUGGAAGGAUAACGAUUGCUCAUAACCCAAAUCCCCAAUACCCUCUAAUAUCUCACUCGAGUGAGUUCAAGCCCCCAAAAUUCACUACAGUGAAACUCUCGAAACAAAAUUCUCUUCAAAUAUUCUCAACUCAAAUUUGAUAAUGAUAUCUCUUGAAGGAAGGCAAAAAAUCUAACACUGAUCAAAUUGGCUUGUGAACAAUUAAUGUUCCUGGCCAUCAUUCAUACUAGGUGUGGCGAACAAUUAAGCUGCUUAGUAUCCUGAACCUGAUAACUUACACAAACAAAAACAACUUGCCUAAAGUUUAAUAUUUAGAGGCAGAACGGUAAAGAAGAAGAUAUAUAUUGAUACUAAAAUUUGACUUGCGUUACCCUGAUGUCAAGAAUAGCGGGAUCUCAUGUGGGCAAAAUCUUCGCAAUACGAGAUGCUUGCAAAAUUGAAGCAGCAUCUUAUCACCUGUAAUUUAAUUAAGAUAAUAACUUUCCCCGACUAUUUCAAUGCAUUAUUGGCAACUAAAUUCAGAGGGCGCUAAUUAAAUACCCUUUUAACAAUAUCUUCUUAUUCUUCUCUAAUCUAGCAGUUAUUUGGAAAAUCUAAAUGACAGUCAUGCAUCAAUGGCGUCAAAAUUUGGCUACAAAGCAGCCUACAAAAGGCUUCACCCUCUGAAUGAGAGCAUGAAUUCGAAUAAUAUGAUGAAUGAAGAAACAAAGGCAUAAUACCACAAGAAGUCAAACUUUUCCCCAGAGCUCUGUUUCUGUUUGUGCUAAAGCAAAUGGAAACCAGUGGAAAUGAAUUUCUAUGAACUAGACAUAUCAGCCAAAACAGGUACUCUGUGCAAGCAAAGUAAAAAAGAGUUACAAACAAAUUUAAGAUUGAUAUGAUAAUUAAAAUUUCAGUCACCAUAUAAUUAAUAGAAAACUUUGUACACAAUGAUUUAUUGCAUAUUAAGAUUGUAUACCUAAAUUUUAAUUGCUAUGCAAAAUAUGAUAUUAGCAUUAGGAGACCGCACCAAAACGUACCGUAUUGAAUGUGCCUUUUCACAACCAUUGUACAAGCUUUGAAGCUUUGGCACAAAUGCUUUUUCAAACCCAUGAACAUGAUGCACCCGAGAGAUGCAAGAUAUGAAAUUGUUACAACAGCAGGCAUUGAAACAUUUGUUAAGAAAGGAAGUUUAUGAAAAUACGCCUUAACAUUCAUUAGAUACAUGUCUUCAGGAAUCAAUUCAUCUGUAAUAACAAUUUUCAAAGAGCAUUAACUGCUUUAAGCCCCUCAACAUCACAGAGAUCUUCAAUUAAAAUAGCGCAGAUCCGGCCAUCACUAUUACUUCUACUGCUCUUUCGCUUUAGAGAACGCUUGAAUUACAGAAUGCAUGUAAGGCUUUCUUGUUUAAGGUCCAGCAAACCUUGCACAAUAACAACAGAGGCAGUGGUUCCAUUGCCAGCCUAAUCCUUGGUCUCACCAAUGUUCUGCACGAGUAGGAAAUCAACCUUAAAAUUAAGAAUGAGUUGCAAAAACUGUUUAUGGCCCUAAAGAACUUGAAAAUCGGAAAUGAUUAAGAAUGAGUGAGUAAACAUUUUAAUCGAAUAAACAUACAAAACUUGAAAACCUAACAUUGAAGUACUCUGAAUGAAUGUGCAAUUGCACGAGCUGGUGACAACUGACUUUACUGCAAAGGCUCUUUCAAACCCUUGGAGAUGAUAAAAAUAAAAAUGCAAUGCUUGAGCUUGAGCUUGAGCUUGUUUUAACAUCAUCAUAGUAGGGAAUUUUGAUAUAUCUUUACUUCUCUGUGGUUCAAUCAUUUACUUCUCUGUUCUUGUUUAUUCACAACAAGAUAUCAAUAGAAGAAGAUGGAAAUGAAAUUCUAUAAAAUAAAGCAAGUGAAUUACCAGCAGAACAUUUUAGCAAUCCUUUGGCUAAACUUUUCAUUUUCUUAGCAUACUCUCCUGCCUGCAUCAUUAAAACCAAAUUAGAUUGGACCUGUGAAUUGCUAGUGUGGUUCUGACAUUUCCUCGAAUCCCUGGUGAACAUAAUUAAACGCGUAUGAAAUAAAACAAAGUGGGCUAAUGUACUACUAAAAACAAUUACACAAUUACUUUAAAGAAUUAAUGUCACAUAAAUUAUAUAUAAAAAAAUAAGAUUAUCAUUAUACAAGAUAAAAUUGAUAAUUUAUUUUUCAACAUUACUGCAAAUGUAUUACAGAGAUUUUGUCUCUCAGGAAGUUACACAUAACAAAUUUUCGUACAUUAAAAAAUAAAUUACAUUGGGAUUUUCUAUGAUGUUGUAUGCAAUUUUACAAAAGAGCACAUAUUUUUUAAAAGUAAAUAAAUAUAGAAAUUUAAACAGACUACACUUGUAUUUUUUUAUUAUUUAAUCUUUAGAAAACAAGUUUAACAGAAUUGAUAACUAGGAAGUUUUACAUAUUAUUUCAUUGCAAGCAACAACGAAGUAAAUCAGAGGAGGAGGAGAAAUUACCGGCGAGUGAUAUCUUACGGCUACCACGUGAUGUGGGGAAUGUGAGAUAUCUUCUCCUUUCCCCUCUCUAUGACGGUUUUCCAAAAGGGGACAUCCCCAAAUUGUCAAUUUCUGCAGCGUCGUCGUUCGAAGGAGGUAAUCCGGCAGCACCUUUAAUUUGGGGCAAUCCCCAAUUAGCAGGGAAGAAAGACGUGGUAUGUCUGUUGUCCUGCGAUCUUCUAGAAUGGGCAGUUCUUCCAAAUUUUUACAAGAAUAAAUACUCAGUUCCUGCAGCGUCGUCGUCCGAAGAAGGUAAUCCGGCAGCACCUUUAAUUUGGGGCAAUGCUCAAUUUCCAAGGAAGAAAGACGUGGCAUGAUGGAGAUGUUUUCCUUCCUCGUAAUCCUGUAAUUCCACUCUUCCAAUUCAUCCAAGAACCAAAUUUUGAGAGAUUUCAAUUUGGGGAAGGCAAUAACUGAUGAUGACGAUGAAGAUGAAGAUGAGUCGUCCUCACCGCUUUCUUUUAUUCCCAAAAACUCAUUACCCACUCUUUUUACACUUUUCAAAUUGCAUAGGAUGAGUUUUUCCGGAGGCAAUUUUCCCAAAGGAGGCAAAUGCUCACAGUUAAAACACAAGGAAAGAUAUAAAUUCCUUAGAUUGGUUAGUAAAGUCAACCAUUUGGGAAAAAUGACGCCUCCAUAGGAUUCAAUCCCUAAUUCCUCUACAUUCAAAGGCGGUUGUAAGGCUUCAAGAAGUUGUUUAUCUUUCUCGUUCUUCCUCCUCCCUUCUUCGCCUUCCCCAUCUACGACUCCACCAAACACAAGACGCAAACGAAGGAGGUUUUUCUUAUUGUAAAGUUGUAACCUCUCAACCUCAUCUACAUGCGAUACAUUACUCAGCCCUUCUAUACUACAUUUACCACGGAGUUGAAGAUUUUUCAGAGAUUCAAGCCUACAUGUGCUGCCGCCAUCAACACCUCCACCCACAACAAACUUUUCUAAUGUUCGAAGGCUGGUCAAUCUGGAAAUCCCUAUUGGAAACUCCUCAUGUUCUUUAACUUCCCAAUCCCGGCUGGCAAUUCUCUAAGAUAUUUGCACCGCCUAAUAUCUAGCUUUUGUAAAUUAUAUAAUUCACACAAAGUCUCAGGUAGUCUCGCUAUAUAUAAUUUAGACAACUUAAGAUAUUAAGAUAUUUUAAAUGUAUCAAUUUUCCAACAUUAUUUGGAAUUUCUGUAAUCCAAUUUGUGCCUUCAUACAAAAGCUUGAUCGAUUGCCUUAUAACUAAUGCCCUUAAACAUGCCAAUUUAUUAAAUAACUCCCGAAGGAUGCUAUUAUUAAGAGACGGAUUGAAAAAACCUUCAUCAUAAAUUAAUAGGGUACGCAAUCUAUUAAGUCCAUAAAUGGUCAUAGGAAAUGAAGCUCCUCCUCCAAAAUUUAACCGUAAGUGACGGACUUUGUCACCAAAAAAUUUUAUGACUGAUUCCUUGGUACCAUUAAUUUCUAGCCACAAACAUUCUUUGCUACUUACAAAUUGGGCAAAAUCAUGUACUAUGUCAUGCAUCUUACAACUCGUGAAAUCAUCAUCGUCCUCAUAUAUUUUAAACUCUUGAAAGAAAGAGUGUGUUGCUAAGAUGUUGAAAUACUCUUCUCCAAUCAUCUCCAUUUCUUCGUCUUCUUCUGCAUUAAGGUAACCUUGAGCCAUCCACAGAUCAAUCAACUCCUCUUUAUCCAUCACGUAGUCUUUUGGAAAGACAGCACAAUAUGAGAAACACCGUUUUACCAUAGAAUUGGAGGGCAAAUCGUUAUAACUCAACAACAAAGGAGCCAAAAGACCUUGCCCAAUCUCUUCUACUUUCCACAUUUCACUCUCUAAAAUUCUUUGCCACUCUUUUACUGUACUUUUAGAGCGCAAGAGAUUCCCUAUUACCUUUGCAGCAAGAGGCAGGCCUUUGCACUUACAUGCAAUUUUUCGCCCGAUUGGUUCUAAUUUUUCACAAUCCUCAAAAGAACGACCGAAAAAUGCUAACUGCUUGAACAAUGACCAGCAUUCCUCUUCAACCAAUUGCUUGAUGGAGAUAAUAUUUGUUGAUCCCAUCAUACGUGCAACUAACUCAUUACGUGUGGUAACCAAAAUUUUACUUCCGUGGAGACCAUUUUUUAGACAACGGAAGAAUGGUUGCCAUUUAUUGUAAUCCCCAUCCCAUACAUCAUCUAAGACAAGAAAAUUUUUUUUUCCUUUAAUUGAACUCUGGAUACGGCUCAUAAGAGAUUGGAAUUCGUUUAAACCAGAAGCUGACUUCCCUAGACCUUCAAUGAUUGCUUUGGCAAUCCUAAUCUGAUCAAAAGUGUCCGAUACACACACCCAUAUAACUUUUUCAAAAUUUCUUUUCACCUCAUCAUUAUUAUAGGCUAGUUGUGCAAGAGUGGUUUUACCUAUACCCCCUAACCCAACCAGUGAAAUGACCUGAAGGCCAUUUUGUUGUUCACUACUUUCACACAACAACUUGCUUAAGAGCUCACUUUUCUCAUCAACCCUACCGCAAACCUCUCCCUCAUCAAUCAAGGACGUGGUUCGCACUCUCUCUGGUUUCUUAACAUUGUUACUCACAUUCUCAACUAAUUUGAAACUAUCUUUUUGUCUGGCAAUAUCAUCUAGCUUUUCACUGAUUUCUCUAAUCUUGACAGCAAUAUCAUGACGAAGACUGAGUUGUUUGAAACCACCAAAGCAGUUUGAGGCAGCAGGAAAGAAGAAACAUACCUUCGUCAAAAAAGUAACAAAAGCACCGUCGUUAUCAUCAUAAUCAUCAUCGCCUCCCUCAUCAAGCUGCAAUUUCCGUGUUUCAGUGAUCCACUCUUCCAACACAUCUUCCAUGUCGUAGGAUGCGUCUCUGAGCUGAUCCAGCCAAAAAGUAACAGCUUUGUCCUGCUUCAUUUGCCUCUGCUCUGCAUCUUCCAGCACAGCUUGAAUGGCUUGAAGAUUGGUGGUAAGCUUUCCCACUUCUUGUUCGACACCCGUCACAAGCCUCCACUUUUCUUUCACCUGAUCUUGAGCAAUGGAUUUCAGCUGGUCCAGGAGAGGGGAAACGAUCGCAUGAGCCAUUCUGAUAUUAGAUCAAAUGGUAAAUGCUGCAAUUGCUUUUCUUUCUAAACUGCUCAGAGGAAAGUAGCUUUUAUGUAUUCUGUGAGAAUGCUCAUUCAACCAUGUUUGCAUUCUUCUUAUACUAAUAGGAGAUUUAAUUUUUACCCUCAAGUCAAUGUCAAUGUGAACGUUCUUUUGUGCUGCAAAUUGAAGGAGUCCCCACAGGAGUCACCGUCGUGGUUACUUGCUGCUCUUAAGAUAAUUAGUAACAAAAUAUUUGUAAACUGCAACAAAAAGCUCAGUGCAAUCUAUCUAUGAAUCUUGUGAGUUCACAUAUAAUACAGUCGAUUUAGAAUAGUCAUAAAUUUUUUUUAUUAUAAAUAUUAGUAUAUUUUUAAUGGUAUAAUAUAUAUCGAUGAAACUAUAUAGAGUAAUUUCGCCUAAUUGUAUAAAUUCAUUACGAAUAUCAUCACAAAUUUGUAUUUGGUCGGGACCGUGCGAGUGAAAUUUUUGAUAAAAUCGUCUCCUGACAAUUUAUUUAUUAUAUUCCAUUCCUUUUAUUAUCAGGUAGGCCAAAGCCAUUUGGACAUUUGAAAAAGUAUGUGAUUCUGUUUUAGUCUAUUAUGUCACGACAAAAAGAGAAUUGGAAAAUGUAACAUUCUCAAAUUAAUUUGUAGUGGAAAAGAGAAAAAUAAGACAAAAGUUGGAAAAAUCAUGCAGCCGACCCUUUUUUUUAUCUGAUUGCGCAAUAUUAGGUAGGCGAAUGCGACUUCAUCGAUAUCACACAGCAGUGGUUCUGUCAUUAAUUUUUUUCUUUUAUUUAAUUAAGAAAAGGAAGAAAAGAUAGCACAUGUUAUGAUUAUUGUGAAUUUUCCAUCCCUUAUAUAAAUUCUCAAAUUUAUUUAAAUUGUGAGUCAUAGAAGUAUAUUACCUAAACUAUUUUAUCAGGCCAUGUUCGGAUACUAGGAUUAAGUAUGGAAUUGGACUAAUUUUGUGAUUAUAUUUUAUAUCAAAUUUGGUAAGCUUAAUUGAAUUGGACUAAGGGACUAAAUUUAAGUUUAAUCCUAAAAUUAUGGGAUUAAUAAUCCUAAUUUACACAUUCCUUUAGUUGGGACUUGGGAUAAGAUUAAAGAAAAAAAGUUAUCCAUUUAUGAGACUUUAAUUUAUGUCAUUAUUUUUUAUUUAUACUUAAUAUUAAUUAAUUUAUUAAUUUAUUUUUAAUUUAUGAUUUACUUAAAAUUUAUUUUUAUUUAUUAUCUAUUAUCUGGUUAAAUUAGAACUUUACUUCUACUAACUCUUGCGAUUAAUUUUUCAUUACUUGCGUAUUUGAUAAUUUGCCAAUAAAAUUAACCAUUUAAUAAUUUCUUGCAUUAUUGAUUGUAUUAAAUUUAAUAAUCACUAAUAUAAUAUUAAAAAUAAUCAUGAAAAUUAAUAAUACCUUCAAUUAAUUGAUUUUAUAUACUUUUUUUAAAUAUUUGAUAAGAAGUUGAUAAAAAUUAAUUAAGGAUUUAAAAUUUUAUUCAUUUUUUAUUUAUUUAUUUUAUCAUGAAUACCCAGUAUCUUACAAUAUAAUUAAUUUUCUUAUUCAGACUACUCAGCAUCAGCUCCUGUAAAAUUUCUUACAUUAUAAGCAACAAAAUAUUUAUAAACUACAACAAAAGGCUUAGAUCAAUCCACCGAUGAACCUUUUGAAGUUAUAUAUAAUAUAUUAAUUGUUGAUCUAGAAUAGUCUUAGUGGAUAGAUUUUUUUAAUUAUAAAUAUUAAUAAAUUUUUUAUCGUUUAAUAGAUAUUGAUGAAAUUAUAUGGAGUAAUUUCGCCUAAUCAUAUUAAUUCAUUAUGAAUUUCAGCACAAAUUUGUAUGUGAUCGAUCUGGACCGUGUAAGUGAAAUUUAUUUACUAUAUUUUUCAACUUGGCCGACAACAUCUUUUUGUCAGGUAGGCAAAAGCAAAAGCCAUUAUCUCAUUAAUUGAUUUGGUCAUUUGAGAAUGUAACUCUAUUAUGCCGUGACAAACUCCAAGAUCUAAUUUAGAGAGCGACCCAAAUAAUGGUAAUUAGUAAUUUAUUACAUCUGCAGUUAGAUAGAUACUUUGUCUGGGAAAAAAAUAAAAUCAGUUUUAUAAUGAUUUUAAUUAAUUCAUUUGGUCAUUUGAAAAAGUUGUGGCUCUGUUUUAGUCCAGUGUCAAUAUAUAACUUUAUUAUGUCAUGACAAACUUUAAAAUUUAAUUUAGAGUGUGACUCGAAUAAUUUUAAUUAGUAAUUUAUUAUAUCUACAGUCGGAUACUUUGUUGAGAAAAAAAAAAAUAAAAUCUGUCCCAUAAUGAUUUUAAUAAAUAUCAUACUAUUGUCUACGGACUUACCUCAUAUUACAAAGAAUUAAAAUAUGCGAAAGAUAACUAAGGAAUAAAAUUUUUCCACAAUGAUUUAUAAAAUUGCUUUUGAAGAACGGUUAUGAUAUUAUAUUAAAUUACUAAGAAUUUAGUUAACCUCUCAAGAAGUCUAUUUGGUUGACUUCUCGAGUUUAAAAUUCGAAUGUCAAAAAAGAUAAAAGGUUAAAAAAAUAUUUUAAAUAUUAUCCACCCUUUUACUAUUUUAAUAUACAAAAAGAAGAAUUACUUGUUUUUAACAAUAGCAACCGGGGGCAUAAUAUAUCUGAUGGAUUUUUUUAAGGAACAAAACUUAUUAUAUCUCCUAUCAAAAAUGUCAUUUUUGUUAGUAAAAGGAUAUCUAUAUCUCCAAAUUUUGGAAAAAUGGUUACCAGCGCUUCCAAGUCCUAAAUUUUCAAAAAGAGACACUAAAACUCAUUUUUUACUACAAUACCCUUUACUUUUAUUAUCCCAAAAGUUAACUUUAAUUUUUUUUAUAAUAAAUAGAAAUAUAAUAUUAAAAUAAAUGUAUUAAAAUUUAAAUUAUUAUGAAAAAUAAUAAUUUUAAUAUUAUUAGUAUAUGAGACUUUUUUAAUUGUAAAAUGUAUUUAAUGCAAAUAUUUAUUUAAAAUCUCUAGAAUAAAUACAAAUAUAUUAUUAAAAUAAAUAUAAUAAUUUACAUAUUUAAAUUUAUUUUAAUAUUAUUAAUCUACUACAUAGAUUACAUUAUUUAUAUAAUAUUUGUGUUUACUAAAAAUUUGCAAGUUAAAUUUUUCGGGAUACUAAAGGUAAAGAGUAUUAUGGUCAAAAGAGAGUCUUGAUGUCAUUUUUAGAAAACUUGGGGUGUUGGUGACUAUUUCUCCAAACCAUGGGGAUAUAGAUAUCCUUUUCUCUUUUUUAUUUUAAACAAGUGGUGACUAAAGAUUAAACUGUCAUAUAUUCACAAGAUAUUCACCACAAAAUUUGUAGGAAAUUUCUUCUUCCCUAAGCGGAAAAUACAAAACAAAAACAUAAUUGGCAAUUUCACUAGCAAAACUAAUAAUACUUUUGUUCCAUAUCCAGGGGUAGAGCUCGGGGUAAAUCUUCAUGACGCCCAAAUUCAAAUUUCAAGUGUUAGCUGGGAAUUAAUUUUAGACAAUUUUAUUUAUUUAUUUAUAGCUAGUAUGUAAUUGUUAGGUAUUUCAAAAUUUGAGAAUUUUGUGAUUCUGUGAGAAUGUUGAUUCAAGCAUGUUUGCAUUCUUCUUAUAAGUACCAUAGGAGAUAUUUAGUUUUUACCCUCAAGUCAAUGUCAAUGUGAACGUUGUUUUGUGCUGCAAAUUAAAGGAGUCCCCACAGGAGUCACCGAUUUGCUUUGAGAAUUUUGAGAAUUAUGUUUUGCGAGUGAAAUUGCCAUUUUGUCAUAAUGGAAUUUUGCUUUCUGAUCAAUAAUUGAGAAUUUUGCUUGUAGCUACAGGCUGCAGCGAUUUUGAUUUGACGGCUUUGAUUCAUAAUUGAAGUUACUGUUGCAAGUAAAAACUAAAAAAAUUAACAAAAUAAAAAUCAAAGACUUAGGUCCAUGUUGCAAGUAAAAACUAAAAAAAUUAACAAAAUAAAAAUCAAAGACUUAGGUCCAUGUUUUAUCAAAAUUUUAAUAAAAGGCUAUUUGUCAUUUUGUCAUAAUGGAAAAAUGAUUAACAAAAUAAAAAAAUCGAAUUUACUUGAUUUUAUUUUACAAAAUAUAAAUUAAAUUUCUAUUAUAUGUAUAAAGUUUAUACAUCAAGUGCUUAGGGGUCAAAUCAAUCUUUUUAUACCUAAUUUUUAAUAUUUUACUUCGAAACCUCAAAAAUUUUUAAAGUUUGUUGGGUCACAAUCCCCGCUAGGAGUGGGCAAAUUUGUGUUCAUAUCAACUUGAAUAGGUUUUGGGUUGAUUAGGCUAGAACUGGAUCAGAUCAAAAAGUAUGAGAGAAAUUAAUUGAGCUUCUCCCAAGAAAAAUACAUACAGAUGAUUGAUAUAUAACCAUUAAAUAAUAAAUAUGUUAGACUUACAUUUAUUUUUUAGCCCUAAAAGUAUGAAAAAAUUAAUACUUUCCGAAUUUAUUUUUUGUACCGUAAAGAAUCAAAUUACUCACAAAAUUAUUUUUAACUUUCAUCAUGCAAACAAACAAAUCAUCAUCAAUUUCAAUAGAAAGAAGUAGAAUAUGAUGUAUUUAGGACUUCCUACUCUAUUAGCUAGGUUAAUAACAUGUUAAUUGUCACAUCAUUAAUUUUAGAUUAUAAAUUUUAUAUUCAAACUUUGUAUGACUGCUCCUUUUUCAAUGAUCUAAUGUUAGAGUGCAAUUUAUGCACUAGUUUUGCAUUGUUUACUUCCUUUAAUAUUGAUAUUUUACACUUAAUAAUAGUGAUUUACUUGUAUUUUAUUUUUGUAGGUGCAAUUCUAUUGAUUGGUGCUAAAAUUGAGAUACAAGAUGAUGUUUAAGGAUGGUUGUUCUCUUGGAUAAAUUAUGAGUGUCAGAAGAACUUUGUUGAUAAGGCGUGGGCGCGUGCUGUCAACUACGGACCUGCAGUUUUUAGUUUAAUGUGUUUUGUAUUUUUGGUUAUUUUUGUAAUUAUGAAUUUAAUGUUUCAGAUAUUAGUAUUUUAUUUUAAAUAGAACUCUAGAGGAGAAGAGAGGGAGAGUAUUUAAGGGAGGAAUCUAUUGUGAAAAAUGUGAGAGAUUGGAGAAAAAGAAAGAAACCCUAGAUCUAAACUUUUCUCUUCUCUCUAUGAAGAACUAAACCUAUUUUUCUAGUUGAAGGUUAAUGAAGCUUUGAUUCAUCACUACUGUGAGAUCUUUCUUAUGCUUUAAUUGUUUUAUUGCUUUUUGGGUAUUUGUUUAUUUUUUGAAUUAUUUUCAUGAUUAUGUUUGUUAAUUAGGUAAUUGGACACUAUUUAAUUAUCAACUUAAUCUAUUGUCAAUUCAAUGAUUCAUCGUAUGAAGAUUUUAAUGUUUGUGACAAAUAACAUAGCAGUGAGUUGUAUUAUGAGAAUAAACAAUCUAAUUUAAAUGAACCAUCGUAUGUGUUUGUUGAUUAGGAUUUGGGUCUCUCUGGUUUUUCAGGCUGUCAAUUGAUAUAAUCUUAUGAUUGUAUUUAGGGUUGUCUAUUGAUUAGGGAAAUAACCAACGGUCGUACCUUGGUUAUCGACUAGUUAAGGAGAGAUUGGCUAUUAGAGGGUCUCAGUAGCUAUAACCGGUGUAUUCAUAAGUAGUAAUAAUUUAUAUUUGAAUCAAUGAUUAGUAGUCGAAUCAAGCUCAGUUAAUUCCUUCAACCAAAGCUUUCUCCAAUUUGAAUUACAACUUUAAUUUGCAUUCUAGUUAUUUUAAUUUGAUUUCUAUUAUUGUCAACAACUCCCCCAUUUUACGUUUUACAUUUUAAAAGGAUUUAAAUAAUUACCGAUCUCUGUGAACACGACCCUGCUCAAUCAUUAUACAUAAUUUAUUUAGAGUAUGUAUUUAUUUUUGCUGUCUUCGACAAUCAUCAAAUUUUGGCGCCGUUGCCGGGGAUUGGUGUCGUUUAUUUAAUCCUUUUUACAUUUUACUUGGUGUAUGGUUCAUUCUUCUCGUACAGGUACACUUUCGUUUGAUCCUGAAAUUGAGAAGACAGCUCGCCAGCUGAGACAGCAGACGAAGCAAGCUAAGCAACGAUUCUCGUCGCCUUUGCUUUUUGAAACAGAUACAGUGUCUGAUUUGAUUGAAUCAUCUAGCGAUUCAGAAGAACAAGUGAUGGAUAGAGCUGCACCUGUAGAAAGAACUCUUAAAGAGUUAGCUGAACCAGACUUGAAUCAGCAACCACUCUGCAUUCAAUAUGUAGACUUGGAGGUAAAUUUUGAAUUAAAGUCUGGUCUUAUUAAUUUAUUACUCAAGUUUCAUGGUUUUGCAGGUGAAGAUCAUCAUAAACAUCUCAAGGAGUUUCAUGUUGUGUGCUCAAGUAUGAGGCCACAAGGCGUGACUGAAGAGCAGAUUAAGCUGUGUGCUUUUCCGUUCUCUGCAGAUGGGCUAGCUAAAGACUCGUUGUACUACUUGCCUCCUGGAUUGAGUACAACGUGGAAUGGUUUGAAGAAGCAGUUCCUUGAGAAGUACUUUCCUGCUUCAAGAGCUGCCAACAUCAGAAAAGAUAUUUGUGGGAUCAGACAACUUCCUGGGGAGAUUUUGUAUGAGUAUUGGGAGUGAUUCAAACAAUUGUGUGCCAGCUGUCCUCAGCAUCAGAUUUCUGAUCAACUUCUUAUUCAAUAUUUUUACGAAGGACUGUCAUUGAUGGAUAGGAGUAUGAUAGAUGCUGCUAGUGGAGGCGUGUUGGUGAACAAGACCCCUACUCAAGUAAGGGAGUUGAUCUCAAAUAUGGCUGCCAAUGCACAACAAUUUAGCAGCAGGCAAGAUCCCACUUCAAAGAAGGUGAAUGAGGUAAAUAUUUCUUCUGUUGAACAACGUUCAGAUAAACUUACUUCUCUUGUGGAAAAGUUUGUUUUAGGUAAUGUACAAUAGGUGAAGACUUGUGGCAUCUGUUACAAUAUGGGUCAUUCAACUGAUAUAUGUCCUACGCUUCAAGAAGAACCCGUUGAACAAGCCAAUGUAGUUGGAGGAUUUCCAGGCAAGCCUCAGAAGAGGUAUGAUCCUUAUGCACAAACAUACAAUUCAGGGUGGAAGGAUCAUCCCAACUUCAACUAUGGAGUUAGGCCGUCAGGAUUCCCACAACAGUAUCCACCAAGACAACCAGCACCUCCACAGUCAAACUCCAAGUCAGGUAUAUCUCUUGAAGAAAUUGUUAAAUCACUUGCAACUAACACUCAACAAUUUCAGCAGGCAACUACAGCAAGCAUUCAGAAUUUGGAGAACCAAAUGAGUCAAUUGGCCACUACAAUGAGCCGUCUGGAGUUUCAAGUAUUAGGGAGAUUGCCUUCACAAUCUGAGGUAAAUUUAAAGCAAAACGUUAGUACUGUCAUCCUUAGAAGUGGGAAGGAGUUACAAGAGCCUAGUAAGAAAGUGACAAAGCAUGUAGAAGAUGAGCUUGAGAAGAAUGAAUUGAUGCCUAAAUCUCAAGAUGCGCAACCCACCAAAGCGAAACCCCUACCUAUUGUGAUACCUCCUCAUUUUCUAAGCCGGUUUGUAAAAUCCAAGAAGGAGGAACAAGAGAAAGACAUCCUUGAGACAUUUCGCAAGGUUGAGGUAAAUAUUCCUUUAUUAGAUGCUAUAAAACAAAUACCUCGAUAUGCUAAAGUUCUUAAGGAACUGUGCACCUCCAAGAGAAAAUUAAGAGGAGAUGAAAAAGUUCACAUGGGGGAGAAUGUUUCAGCAGUUCUCCAAAAGAAAGUACCUCCUAAGUGCAUGGAUCCAGGUAUGUUUACUAUCCCUUGUAAAAUUGGUAGUGUUAGAGUUGAAAAUGCUAUGUUAGAUCUAGGAGCUUCUAUUAAUGUCAUGCCUCGUUCCAUUUAUUCAUCUUUGAAUGUUGGUCCAUUGAAAAAAACUGGCAUGAUAAUUCAACUAGCUGAUAGGUCUAAUGCAUAUCCUGAUGGGGUAUUAGAAGAUGUCUUAGUACAAGUUCAUGAGUUGGUUUUUCCUGUUGAUUUUUAUGUACUUGAUAUGGAAGAGGAUAACUCCUCUAAUUCUUUCCCAAUUUUGCUAGGAAGACCUUUUCUUAACACUACUAGGACUAAAAUGGAUGUACAUAAAGAGACUCUCACUAUGGAGUUUGAUGGAGAGGUUAUAGAAUUCAAUAUGAAUGAUGCCAUGAAAUAUCCUAAUGAGAAACAUUCGGCAUUUUUUGUGGAUGUUAUUAACCCUAUAAUGCAGGAAGUUUUUUACAAGGAAAAGACGAAGAAAUUUCAUGAUAGAAUGAUUUUGAGAAAGGAGCUCUCUGUUGGUCAAAAAGUUCUUUUUUAUUCUAAGCUUAAACUUUUUCCGGGUAAAUUACGUUCUUGCUGGGUUGGACCUUUUAUUAUUACUAAUGUUUUUCUUCAUAGUGCAGUUGAGAUUCGGAGUCCGACCUCUGACAAAGUUUUUAAGGUUAAUGGUCAUUGGUUAAAACCUUUUUAUAAAGGUUUUUCGGUGAAUAUUGUGGAGGAUAUGGCUCUCAAGAGUCCCAAUUAUGGAGAUUGAUGCAUAAAUGUGUCUAACCAAAGACAUAAAACAAAGGCGCUUUUUGGGAGGCAACCCAAAUGAUUUAUUUAUUUUGGUUUUUGUUAUAUCUUCUUUUCAUUUUGAUUCAGAUUUUUUAAAAAAAAUAAUGUGUUUGCUUAUUUUGGCCAGAAGAAAAUGUUUGAUAAGGCGUGCCCACGUCUUAACUAAUAAGUACUUCUGUGAUUUUUAACGUAAAAUGGUUUUAAGGCGUGCGCACGUGCUUAUUAAAAAAGUACUUCUGAAAUUUUUAGUGUCUCAAGUGAUACAUCACUAAAAAAAAAAUUAUUUUAUUUAUUUAUUUAUUUGAAAAUUAAAAAAAUAAAAAAAGUUUUUUUUCUUUUCUUUCUUUUAUAUUUUUAUUUAUUUGAAAAAAAUUUAAAAAAUGAAAAAAUAAAAAAAAAGUUUUUUCUUUUUUUCUUUUAUAUAUUUUAUUUAUUUAUUUAUUUGAAAAAAAAUUUAAAAAAUAAAAAAAUUUUACUGUUCACAAAAUCCCUAAUUCACAGAAUUAGUGUUCUUCUCCAGCCGCUCCAGCCUUCACCGAGCAGCCACGCAGCACCAGCUCCAUCCCCAGCGCGCAGCAUCAUCCCCAGCCCGCGCGCAAGCAACCAGCCCCAACCCGCGCAGCACAACCAUCUGCGAAUAACCUGAACCAACAGCCGUGUACCUGCAAGCUCCAGCCGAGCAGCAACCAUCCGCAGCCGGCCUACGCCCUGCAUUCUAGCCGCGUGAAUCAAAAUCCGUGAGUUCAAUUAUUGUAACAAUGCCGAAGAGGAAAGCAUCAACUUCCAAGUCAUCUAAAAAGACACUCGUCGCAAAGAAAUCCAAGAUUUCCGCUCCCACUACGGUUCCAUGGAACACAGUUUUAGAUUCACGCCAAGCCGUGAGAUAAAGAUCGAAACAUGGAAAAGGCAUGAGUGUUUUGCCACUUGCGGAAUCCAAUCUCAGAGGGUGCCUCACAUUCACGACUCAACAAGAGAAAGAAAUGUACAAAGAUAUUUCCAAGCGAAAAAUACUUCCAGCUAAGUAUAUUCAUUACCCGACUCUUGAAAAAUUGAAUGUCAAGAAUAGUUUUGAUUCUUUGAUAGAUAAGAUUGGUUUGCGUAAGUUUGUUGAUGUUGAUUGUUUGGGUUAUGUUGAGUUGAUUAGGGAGUUCUAUGCUACUUUUCAAUUUAAUAUACUGAAUGAUUUUACUUUGCAUACCUCAGAUGUUAUAAAGUUUAGGUUAAUGGGACGAAAUUUUUCACACUCUAUCACGGAUUUUAACCUAGUUUUAGGAUUCAUUGAUGAUGAUUAUUCUUCUAGUGAUGUAUAUUUAGGGACAACUUGUGACUUUAGCGAAAAUUUUGAGCCUUAUGGUCUUUGGCGUAAUUUAUCUGUUGAUCACAAUGCCUAUGACCCAAGUAAAUCAAAGAGUUCUUUCUUACGUGAUCCUGUUUUGAAAUGUAUGCAUCGGUUCUUAGCAUAUAAUUUUUUAGGAAAGAAAGAUCACUCAAGAGUUUUCUCUAAAACUGAGUUUUGUUUUAUCUGGUGCAUAUUAAAUGAUGUGAGGCCUAACUUAGGUUUUUGGUUAGCAGAUCAAUUUCAAAGUGUGCUUAAACGGUAUAGGACUUUAUUUCUUGGUUCAUACAUUACUCUGUUAGUUAUAAACUUAUGUGUGCUUGAUCAUGACAACAAUGAUUUAUAUCCUGCUUGCAAAAAGAAAUUUUUGGAUAUGUCUGUGUUUGAAAGAACAGGUGUGGUCGAAUUCAAGGAGGGGAAAUUUCAGUUUACUGAACCAGGACCCACCCAACUUCCAAAGAAGUUUUAUACUAGGAGUGGUGCUACCUCUGAUGACGAGUUUGACGACGAAACUGCGGCCCCACCAACUAUUCCUUUUACAUCCGCACAACCUUUGAGCAUUCAGUUAGAGAAAAUGGAGCACAAGCUGAACAAGAUGGAGCAGAAUUUGGCCUCAUACUUCGAGAGUGUGGGAUUUAUCCCACCAUUUCCACUAAGCCCAUAGACGUUAUGAGGAUCAAAGCUCACAAUUCAGGAAAGUUUUCGCCUUUAAUCUUUUAUCCUUACGCUUUAAUUUUUAUGUGAGCUUUGAUUAUCUUACAUUGGGGACAAUGUAAGUGUCUGUCAAUGACAAAUUUAACCCACUACCACCAUUCAUAAUUAACCAAAAUCAAAUAAAUUAAAAAAGAAAACACAAAACAAGGAUAACUACUAGUUGUUUUGAUCAUCCUUGCUUCUUUUUCUUAGCAUAGCUCUUGUAAUGAAAAUUAACAAAAAGGGCCAAAAGGGAAGCAUUAAACACAGUAUUGAAGCACCAACCCCAAAACCCAGGGAAACCAAAUCCCGUGAAAUGAUAAUUCAGCAUCAAAAUGAAAAAUGUUAUGGAUGGCUGUGAUGGGUCUGAGGAUGUGGGGUCCAAUGAGAGGUGAUGAUGAUGGUGAUGUUGAUGUUGAUGUGUGGUAGAGGAUGGAUGUGAGGGAGAGGUAAGUAAUGAUGGAGUGAAUGAGGAUGUGUGGGAAGAAAGCUAGGGUUUGGUCUUGAGUCCACGUGAAGUUGAAGACUUGUGGGUGGCUUACAAGCAAUAAUGGAGUGUUAAGCUGAUUGAAUUUGAAGCCAUGGCUGGUUUUGGGGGAAGAUUGAUUUGGGAGAGAUGAUGGUCAGAGGAAUGGGGGAGUUUAGAAAGUUUGGGAUAUUGUGACGGGUGUUUUAGGCAUAUUUUUUCGUCUUAGCUUAAAUUUUUGUUAAAAAAAUGAUAAAUUCUUUUCUCAUAUCAAUUUAAAACUCCGAGUAUGUUUCCAAUUCUUCUUCUAUAGUGUCUAGACCUUUGUUUCAACGGCAUCUUUGGACGCGGGUUUCUUCUUUUUUGGUUAUUUCUUCUCAAACUUGUGCAGAUUACAUGCACUCAACGUGGAACCCUUUUGAAUGGAAGUUACUGUUUUGCUGGAAUCGGGACCAAUUUUUUGACAAAAAUUUCGCUAUAAAAUAUACAAUUAAAGUCGAGUAAGAUUAAGUAAAGUAACAUCUUGUAUGGUAAAGUACAUCGAGUAAGGAUUUCUAUAAUCGAGCUAGAAAGUAUAAUUAAAAUUAGAUAAGAGUGCCGCGGAGCAUUGUUUUAAAGUUACAGUAUCAAAGUAUUUAAUAAAUAUUUAUUAUUGUGACUUAAAAAUUAAGUUGGGAGUACAAAAAAAUCAAUAAUACAUUUAUUAAUUUUGUCAAAAUUAUUAUUUAAAAAUCAUAUAUACAAUACAAGAUCAACAAUUAUAUUAUAGCUUCAGUUCCUUUUUCACAAUAACUAUAACUACAACACGGUAGUACUAAAUAGGAAGUCGAGUAUGAUCAAGUAAUUACAUGUUAUGGUUUUUUGGUAUUACAUGAUUCUUCAAACUGAAAUUUGCGAUCAAAAUUGUAUCAAAGAAAUCACAGAGACACUCUGUUUGACAAAUCUGCAGUAGAAUUUGCACAAUUUAACUGGAUUGCAGAGAGUGAAUAAGAUUCCAAAGCAACAGGCAAUUAUUGUUAUUAAGAAAACAAUUCAUCGCUAGAACAAAAUUAACUUUUCUAACAUACUAGAAUUUAACUGGAGAAAAAUUGGAAUAUACGACGUUGUAUCACAUAUAGUAUUUAGACAUCAAGAAAAGAAUCCCUCUAUUAGUGAACUAUACUUGCCAGGAAACACGGUGAAAUACCACUACCUCCCUACUAGAUUAAUGCAGCAAAAUUGGGCAAUUGACUUGAUUAACUCCAAGAAAUUUACGCAGUCACAUUCUUCCGGACUAUCCUCUUUCUUCGCACUUUAGGAGCUGUUGUUUCCCCUUACAGAGUCGACAUUCCCUUGUUUGAUGCCAAGGAGCCCAAGCCCAGAGCCAAUGGCAUUCUUUGGUAUCAACCACUUUGGGAACUUUUGAGUUGAGCCAUUGACAUCCUGAGACGGCCUGUUGUGAGCCUUCUUCAAAAGGUCAUCUGACUGAAGUAGCGGAUCCGCUUCCACUCCUAGCCAAGCAAGCCUUGAUCUUUCUCCUAAUUGGACAUUAAGAACCCUGCAUGGAAUCCAUUUGAGAAGUUGAACAAUAGACAAAGUCCAACACAUAUAGGCAGUAAAGAAGAAUUUGGACAGCAAUUACUGACUGUUUAUGCACAGGGCUGAACAAAUGGGAAUAUUAAGGCACUUAAAAGUUGGAACCAUAUUCACCACUUGUAUUUCCUCAGAGAACUAUCUCAGAGUUCUGUUAAUUUAAAACCAUUCUAACGUAUUUAACUACAAAACUAGAGAAAUCGUACUUCUGUAGCGGAGUCUCACUAUUGUUAAGGAUCUAGACUUGGAAAGUAUGCAAGUUGAUUAGGUAAAGAAAAAUUGAAAUAAUACUUGGUGAUAGAUCAACACACUUCAAUAGAAACCACACUAACAUCAUAUCAGACAAAUAAACAGAUUCCCCGAGUCAAAGUUUAACAAACAAAACAUUAAAACAAGGAUAAUUUGGUACGACCAGAAUAGUCUAUCAAUGUAUAUAGAGAGGGAGAGACCUCAAAGCAGCGCUUAAGAACAGUGCUACUCCAAUAACAUCAAUAUGGUUGAUGACCGCUCUAUCAAAUCCAUUGGAAAUCGUAUACUUAUAAUUUUUUUUUUCAAACUUUGUCUAAAAUAAAUGAAUGAGAUAAGAUAAAUUCGAAUAAAUUAAUCUGCAUAAUGACACAAGAAACAAAUGUAAAUUGACCACAAGUAGAAAUAUACUUUUGUUAUCUUCCAAUUUCUUUCCCUUGAGCUCUGUUUCUGCGAGUGCUCAAAAGCAAGACACGGGCCUUGUUAAGAGUAUAGCUGAAGCUGGUGACGUGUAUAAGCUGCUGAUGAAGCUGCUGAGCUGGCUGGCUAGUGAUGUGUAUAAAUUGAAGGUGCUGAGCUGGAUUGGGUUGUUGUUUACACCAACUAAAGCUGUAACAGAUUAUCCAGCUGGCUUGUUAUGAUUGGAAAUUAGAUUAGUUUGUUAAUACAGCAAACGAUUAGCUCUGUUUUAGUAGUUAGCCUUGAAUGUAACUAUAAAUACUGGCUAACACGUUUUCAGUGUUAAGCUUGAGUUUUAAUCAAUAAAAAUCAAUUCAGUUAAAGUUUCUUUGUUAAUUUUCUUUCACUUUCUCACUUGCCAAACAACCUAUUAAUUCUAAAAGGCCUCAAGAUAUAAUUAUCAUCAUCAAUCUUUUGCAGCCACAUGCAGUACUUGGAAAAUGUUUAUGGCCCUAAAUAACUGGAAAAUCAGAAAACAUUAAGAACAAGAGACUAAUCAUUUUAAUCGCAACAAAACAUGCACACUAUGAAAAUAUAAAAUUGAAUUACUUCGAAUGGAUGUGCCUCUUAACAGGAAUUGCACAAGCUAAUGAGCAAGUGAGCCUUGAACAGUUAUCACUCAACUCAAACUAAAAUGAAAUUACUGUGGACAUGUGAAUUAAAAAUAGAUGUAAAAGUAGUUUUCUCAAAGCAAAGUCAAGAUAAGAGAUUAACUCUGCUCCGUAAUUACAUUAAAAAUAACAAACAAUGAAAAACAGAGCUAGAGAAGAACUUACCUGUGCGUUGAGACCAUGUGGGGAAUGUGAGAUAUCUUCUUAGAUUUGGUUUGAGAAACCCUGCCAAUUAAAAUUUCGGUCCCCAUGUAGCAGAAUUUCUUAUUUUUCCUUUGUACACAAAUGCAGACACUUAAGCAAAUUAAGAUUUCUUAUCUAAAGCAAAUUAGGAUUUCUUUUGACCCUGCAAAUUACAAUUUCAGUCCCCAUGUAAUAGGAAAAUUUUGUACACAUAUUUAUAGCAAAUUAAUAUUUCAUACCUCACAAUAUUUAUCAGAACCAUCAAUCUUUAGAAACCACAUGCAGACUUGGUAAACUGUUUAUGGCCCAAAAUAACAGGAAAAUUAGAACAGAUUUUUAAGAAUGAGCGACUAAAUAUUUCAAUGGCAACUAAAAUUACACAUCUUGGAAAUCUGAAACUCAAGUACUCAGAACACUGUUAGUGCAUUGCAUAAGUCAAUUGCAUAAUCUUGGGUAAAAAUUACGCAGCAAUUAAACAAGCUGGGAACUUUAGUGCAAAUGCUUUUUCAUAAUCUUCAAUUGCAUAAGUCAGUUAGAAUCAAUCUUUCUUAAUCUUUCAAUUCACAUAUGAGAGCCUGAUAACACAAGGAAACACUGUAAGUGAAUUGUCAACUGUGACAAAUUUUGGGUAAAAAUUAUCAACUGUAGUUAUCUGCAUAACAUUUAGUGUCAACCCCAAAUUCCUUACUGAUCCGUGGAAGCAUUUCAGCCCACAGACGGUUAGCUUUGUCAAUAUACGGCAACUCAGGAUUCUAUAUUUAAACUAUGAUGUUUGAUGACUUGCUGAUACAAAAGACAUUGCCCCAAGCACUUUUUUACAUUAGCUAAAAUCAAGCCAAUCACUUCCAUUUGUUGCAGUUUUAAUGCAGAAAGAAAAAGGUGGGGAAAAAAUCUGCAAGAUGCCACUUGUAAUACCGCAUGUUCGCAGAAGCAGAGUUAAAUAAUUACAAAAUUACAUUCUUUAUGAAAGCUUGCGAUUAUUGGGAGAGCUCUACUCAAAUUUAAUGAGAUAUCUCUCAGAAGGGAGAGCUCUAAUAAUAUAUAAAGCCAAAAAUCUGACACUCAUCAAAUUGGCUUGUGAACAAUUAAUCUUCCUUGCCAUCAUAAAUGCCAGGUGUGGUGAACAAUCUUCAUUCUGACAUUUGCCUUAAUAAGCUGCUUAGUAUCCUUAACCUGAUAACUUACACAAACAAAAACAACUUCACUAAAGUUUAUUCUUUAAAGGCAAAACAGUAAACCAGAUGAUGUAUGCUGAUACAAAAAAUUGACCUGAGUUAUCCUGAUGUCAAGAAUCACAGAACCUCACGUGGGCAAAAUCAUCGCAAUACAAGAUGCUGAAUUCAAGCAACAUCUUAUCACCUGUAAUUUAAUUAAGACAAUAACUUUCCUCAACUAUUAGCCUUCUCAAUUUCAAUGUAUUAUUGGCAACUAAAUUCAUAGGGGACGCAGCUAAUUAAAUGCCCUUUUAACAAUAUCUUCCCCACCUAACAAUUAUUUGGAAAAUCUAAAUGACAAUCAUGCAUUGAUGGCAUAAAAUAUUGGCCACAAAGCUGCCUACAAAAAGGCUUUAAAUUCUUAAUGAGACAACGUAUUCGAACAAAUAUGGUGAAUGAAGAGACAAAGCAUAACACCUCAAGAAGUAAAGCUCUGUUUCUGUAUAUGCUCAAACCAAUGGAAACCCAUGGAAAUGGAUUUCUACGAAUUAGACAUGUCAGCCAAAACAGGUACUCUGUACAGGCAAAGUAAAAGAGAGUUACAAAAAAUUUUAAGAUAAUUAAACUUUUAAUAACCAUAUAAUUAAUAGAAAACUUUGUACACAAUGAUUUAUAUGAGAUUAAGAUUGUAUACCUAAGUUUUAAUUGCAAACUAAAUAUACACAACAUGAUAUUAGCAUUAGAAGACUGCACCAAAACGCACCGAAUUGAAUGUACCUCUUAACGGCCAUUGUACAUGCAUUGAAAGUUUACCGCAAAAGCUGUUUCAAACGUGAUGCAUCUUAGAGAUGCAAGAUGAGAAAUUGUUAUUACAACUAGCAUUGAAACAUGUGUGAAAACUGUUAAUGGACCUAAAUAACUUGAAAAUCAGAAAAGAUUAGGAAUGAGUGACUAAGCCUGCUAAUCGCAACUAAACGUGCAAACCUUGAAAAUCCAAAAUUGUACUCGAUGAAUGUGCAAUUGCUCAAGCAGGUAAAUUUCCUGCAAAGGCUCUUACAAACCCUCAAAGAUGAUACUCUACAUACCAUGGUAACCUGAGUAACAAAAAGAAACACAGUGAAUAUUAAAGGGCAUUCUGACAAUGCAAAUUUGUGUAAAUUAACAACUGCGGUUACCUGCAUAAUAGUGUCAAUACCGAAUUCCUUCCUCCAUGGAAGCAUGUGAUCAGCCCACAUGUGCUUUGCUCUGUAGCUUUUGAAUACCUGAAAUUGUUAUCACAACCAACGGUGAAAAAUGGGUGAAAAAAGGGUAAUAGUAGCAUAAUUGAAUUUGCUUAUAGAGGAUAAACCGAUCAAAGAAAAAAACAAGACAGAAAUGAUGAUCUUAGUACCUUAAUAUCAUGCAAUAAUAAUCAUCAUGCCUUCUAGGCAGCUAUCCAUCCUCAAUUGAAACAGAGCAGACCUGGCCAUCACUUUCUUCUUCAAAGUCCAGCAACUGAACGUUGCACACAACACCACAGUGGAAGUUCCAUCACCAGCCUAAUCCUUGAUUACCCCAAUGUUCUCCAUAGGGUCUUCAAAGUCAACCUAAAAAUAAAAUGAAAAUGCAAUGCAUUAUUAUUAGGGAUCUAGUGCUUGAGCUUGCUUUGACAUCAUGGUAUUAGCAAAUUCUGAUAUAGCCAAAAUGGUGAAUAAGAUGACGUACUUGAUAAGAAAAACCUGAUUUAACAAAUAAUUAAGGAGCCGGUAACAAUCACAGAAUCUCAUCAUGUGGGGAACGCCUUGGCAACAGAAGAUGGUGCUUUCAUUCAAGCAAUAGCAACUUUCCAAUUUCAUAAGGUAGUUUAAUGGCCCUUUUAAGAACAUCUGCACCAGCCUAAUAAUUAUUCAUGGAAAUUAAUAAUCAGAAUCAUGUUAGAUUGAGAGAUGAAACAUAAUAAGCGAUUUGGCCACCAUAUAUGCAUUUAUCACCUUCAAUUUGCUCAUCUUUGUCUAGAGUAUUGCUUCUGCAUUAACUUAAUUAGCUUGCAAGCCACCUGAACAUGGUUUUAAAUAAAGUGUAAGAGCUCGAAUUCGAACGAAUUAAUCAAAUAUGCUGACAGGAGAAACAAAAGUAAAUAACCACAAGAAGUAGAAAUAUACUUUUGUUAUAUUCAGAGCAUCUUCUUGCGUCAAGUUCUUUUCCUUUAGCUCUGUUUCUGUUUGUGCUCAAACGCAAUGGCUCAAGGGCCAAGAUAAUUUUAUGACCAUCAAUCUUUUUGCAGCCACAGCAGACUUGAAAAAAUGAUUGUGGCCCUAAGGAACUUGAAAAUUAGAAAAGAUUCAGAAUGAGUGACUAAAUAUUAUAAUUGAAACUAACUAAACAUUAUAAUCGAAACUAAUUAAACGCCUAGAAAAUCUGAAACUGAGCAAUUGCUUCUGGUGGAAACUUUACUGCAAGGACUUUCUCAAACCCUUGAAGAUCACACUCUACCUGAUAACAAAGAAACAGUCAAUAUACGAAGAUGAUUUUACUAACAAGUGAGUGCUUACACAUAUUGGAAGGAUAAUGAUGAUUCAUAACCCAAAUCCCCAAUACUCCCUAUUAUCUCACUCAAGUUCGAGCUCCCAGAAUUCACUACUGUGAAGCUCUCACAACAAAAUUCCCUUCAAAGAUUCUCUACUCAAAUUUGAUGAUGAUGUCCCUCCAAAGGAGGCAAAAAAUCUAACACUGAUCAAAUUGGUUUGUGAACAAUUAAUCUUCCUGGCCAUCAUGCAUACCAGGUGUGGUGAGCAAUCUUCAUUAUGACAUUUGCCUUAAUAAGCAGCUUAGUUUCCUUAACCUGAUAACUUACACAAACAAAAACAACUUGAUUAAAGUUUAAUAUUUAGAGGCAGAACAGUAAAGAAGAUGAUAUAUAUUGAUACUAAAAUUUGACCUGUGUUAUCCUGACGUCAAGAAUCACAGCAUCUCAUGUGGGCAGAAUCUUCGCAGUACAAUAUGCUUGCAAAAUUGAAGCAGCAUCUUAUCACCUGUAAUUUAAUUAAGACAAUAACUUUCCCCAACCAUUUCAAUGCAUUAUUGCCAACUAAAUUCAGAGGGUGCUAAUUAAAUAGCCUUUGAACAAUAUAUUCUUAUUCUUCUCCAAUCUAACAAUUAUUUCGAAAAUCUAAAUGACAAUCACGCAUCGAUGGCAUCAAAAUUUGGCUACAAAGCAGCCUGGAAAAGGCUUUACUCUCUGAAUGAGAGCAUGAAUUCGAAACAAAUAUGAUGAAUGAAGAAAAUAAGGCAUAAUACCACCAAAAGUAAAACUUUCUCCCAGGGCUCUAUGUUUCUGUUUGUGCUAAAACCAAUAGAAACCGAUGGAAAUGAAUUUCUAGGAAUUAGACAUAUCAGCGAAAACAGGUAUUCUGUACAAGCAAAGUAAAAUAGGGUUACCAAAAUUUUUAAGAUUGAUAUGAUACUUGAAAAAUAGGUUUGCACAGAAUUAAUUAUUCUGUCAUUGAGAUUGUUCUUUUAUAGAGAUUUACAGCACACAUAAAACUAUUAAAUCAGUAAACUAAAUCACUGAUUUAAGGAAAGAAUAAUUUCUAGGUAGAUUUUCCUAAAAUACAUAGAUUUGCACCUAAAUAGCUAUGUUACAGCUAAUGACUAAUUUACAGCACAUAUUUUUUCUAAUUUUCUAACACUCCCCCUCGAGCUGGUUUGAAGAUAUCCUCCAUAGCCAGCUUGCCAACUAGAAAAUUGAACUGUUUUGUGUGUAGUCCUUUGGUAAAGACAUCAGCCACUUGUUCUCCAGUAGGAAUGUGCUCCAUAUGAACCAAUCCAUUAUCUAUCUUCUCCUUGAUGAAAUGCUUGUCAAUCUCCACAUGUUUUGUGCGGUCAUGAAGGACUGGAUUGUGUGCUAUUGAGAUUGCUGCCUUGUUGUCACAGUACAACUACAUAGGAGAUGAUUUUGUCGCUUUUAACUCUUCCAACAGCCUCCUAAUCCACAUGAUCUCACAAAUGCCAUGGGUUACAGCUCUAAAUUCAGCCUCAGCACUGCUCCUAGCUACCACAUUCUGUUUCUUGCUUCUCCAAGUAACCAAAUUACCACCUACAAAUGAACAGUAUCCAGAAGUGGAUCUUCGGUCUACUUUGCAGGUAAAUUUACUGCAAAGGCUCUUACAAGCCCUCAAAGAUGAUAUUCUACAUACCAUGGUAACCUGACUAACAAAAAGAAACACAGUGAAUAUUAAAGGGCAUUCUGACAAUGCAAAUUUGUGCAAAUUAACAACUGCGGUUACCUGCAUAAUAGUGUCAAUACCGAGUUCCUUCCUCCAUGGAAGCAUAUGAUCAGCCCACAUGUGCUUUGCUCUGUAGCUUUUGAGUACCUGAAAUUGUUAUUACAACCAGCGGUGAAAAUUGGGUGAAAAAAUGGUAAUAUUAGCAUAAUUGAAUUUGCUUAUAGAGGAUAAACCGAUCAAAGAAAACGACAAGAUAGAAAUGAUUAUCUUAGUACCUUAAUAUCAUGCAAUAAAAAUCAUCAUGCCUUCCAGGCAGCUAUCCAUCCUCAAUUGAAACAGAGCAGACCUGGCCAUCACUUUCUUCUUCAAAGUCCAGCAACUGAACGUUGCACACAACACCACAGUGGAAGUAGUUCCAUCACCAGCCUAAUCCUUGAUUACCCCAAUGUUCUCCAUAGGGUCUUCAAAGUCAACCUAAAAAUAAAAUGAAAAUGCAAUGCAUUAUUAUUAGGGAUCUAGUGCUUGAGCUUGCUUUGACAUCAUGGUAUUAGCAAAUUCUGAUAUAGCCAAAAUGGUGAAUAAGAUGAUGUACUUGAUAAGAAAAACCUGAUUUAACAAAUAAUUAAGAAGCCGGUAACAAUCACAUAAUCUCAUCAUGUGGGGAAUGCCUUGGCAACAGAAGAUGGUGCUUUCAUUCAAGCAAUAGCAACUUUCCAAUUUCAUAAGGUAGUUUAAUGGCCCUUUUAAGAACAUCUGUACCAGCCUAACAAUUAUUCAUGGAAAUUAAAAUUCAGAAUCAUAUUAGAUUGAGAGAUGAAAUAUAAUAAGCGAUUUGGCCACCAUAUAUGCAUUUAUCACCUUCAAUUUGCUCAUCUUUGUCUGGAGUAUUGCUUCUGCAUUAACUUAAUUAGCUUGCAAGCCACCUACAAAUGGUUUUAAAUAAUGUGUGAGAGUGUGAAUUCGAACGAAUUAAUCAAAUAUGCUGACAGGAGAAACAAAAGUAAAUAACCACAAGAAGUAGAAAUAUACUUUUGUUAUAUUCAGAGCAUCUUCUUGCGUCAAGUUCUUUUCCUUUAGCUCUGUUUCUGUUUGUGCUCAAACAGAAUGGCUCAAGGGUCAAGAUAAUUUUAUGACCAUCAAUCUUUUUGCAGCCACAUGCAGACUUGAAAAACUGGUCGUGGCACUAAGGAACUUGAAAAUUAGAAAAGAUUCAGAAUGAGUGACUAAAUAUUAUAAUCGAAACUAAUUAAACAUACACGCCUAGAAAAUCUGAAACUGAACUUCUCAAAUGUAUAUGCCUCUUCGCAGCAAUUGCUUGUGGUGGAAACUUUACCGCAAGGACUUUCUCAAACCCUUGAAGAUCACACUCUACCUGAUAACAAAGAAACAUAGUCAAUAUACGAAGAUGAUUUUACUAACAAGUGAGUGCUUACACAUAUUGGAAGGAUAAUGAUUACUCAUAACCCAAAUCCCCAACACUCCCUAAUAUCUCACUCAAGUGAGUACGAGCUCCCAGAAUUCACUACUGUGAAACUCUUACAACAAAAUUCCCUUUAAAGAUUCUCUACUCAAAUUUGAUGAUGAUGUCCCUCGAAAGGAGGCAAAAAAUCUAACACUGAUCAAAUUGGCUUGUGAACAAUUAAUCUUCCUGGCGAUCAUGCAUACCAGGUGUGGUGAGCAAUCUUCAUUCUGACAUUUGCCUUAAUAAGCGGCUUAGUAUCCUUAACCUGAUAACUUACACAAACAAAAACAACUUGAUUAAAGUAUAAUAUUUAGAGGCAGAACAGUAAAGAAGAUGAUAUAUAUUGGUACUAAAAUUUGACCUGUGUUAUCCUGACGUCAAGAAUCACAGCAUCUCAUGUGGGCAGAAUAUUCGCAGUACAAGAUGCUUGCAAAAUUGAAGCAGCAUCUUAUCACCUGUAAUUUAAUUAAGACAAUAACUUUCCCCAACCAUUUCAAUGCAUUAUUGGCAACUAAAUUCAGAGGGUGCUAAUUAAAUAGCCUUUGAACAAUAUAUUCUAAUUCUUCUCCAAUCUAACAAUUAUUUGGAAAAUCUGAAUGACAAUCAUGCAUCGACGACAUCAAAAUUUGGCUACAAAGCAGCCUGGAAAAGGCUUUACUCUCUGAAUGAGAGCAUGAAUUCGAAACAAAUAUCAUGAAUGAAGAAACAAAGGCAUAAUACCACAAAAAGUAAAACUUUUCCCAGGGCUAUCUGUUUCUGUUUGAACUAAAACCAAUGGAAACCGAUGGAAAUGAAUUUCUAGGAAUUAGACAUAUCAGCCAAAACAGGUACUCUGUACAAGCAAAGUAAAAUAGGGUUACAAAAAAUUUUAAGAUUGAUAUGAUAAUUAAAAUUUCAGUCACCAUAUAAUUAAUAGAAAACUUUGGACACAAUGAUUUAUUGCAUAUUAAGAUUGCUAUAUAAAAUAUAAUAUUAGCAUUAGGAGACCGCACCGAAGCAUACCGAAUUGAAUGUGCCUUUUCACAGCCAUUUUACAAGCUUUGAAGCUUCACCACAAAUGCUUUUUCCAACCCGUGAACAUGGUGCACCCGAGAGAUGCAAGCUAUGAAAUUGUUACUACAGCAAGCGUUGGAACAUUUGUUAAAAAAGGAAGUUUAUGAAAAUACGCCUUUGGAUACCAGUCUUCAGGAAUCAAUUCAUCCGUAAUAACAAUUUUCAAGAAUUAUCAACUGCUUUAAGCUCAUCGACAUCACAAAGAUCUCAACUAAAAUAGAGCAGAUCCGGCCAUCACUAUCCCUUCUACUGCUCUUUUCCUUUAGAGAAUGAUUGAAUUACAGAAUGCGUGUAAGGCAUUCUUAUUCAAGGUCCAAUGAUCAAACCUUGCACUAUAACAACAGAGGUAGUAGUUUCUUCGCCAGCCUAAUCCUUGGUCUCAGGAAUGUCCUCAACAGAGUACUCGAAAUCAACCUAAAAAUUAAGAAUGAGUUGGAAAACUGUUUAUGGCCCUAAAGAACUUGAAAAUAAGAAAAGAUUAAGAAUGAGUGACUAAACAUUUAAUCGCAACUAAACAUACAAACCUUGAAAAUCUAACUUUGAAGUACUCUUGAAUGAAUGAGCAGUUGCACGAGCUGGUGACAACUAAGGUUACUGUGAAGUCUCUUACAAAUCCUUAAAGAUGAUACUUUACAUACCACGAUAACCUGAUAACACAUAGGAACACAAUAAACAUUAAAGUGUAUUCUGACAAUGCAAAUUUGUGGAAAUCAUCAGCUGUGGUUACCUGGACAAUAUUGCCAACACCAAACUCCUUCCUCAAUUGAAACAUAUGAUCAGCCCACAAAUGCUUUGCUUUGUAGCUUUUGAGAGCCUGAAAUUGUUAUCACAACCAACAAUGAAAAUUGGGUGAAAAAAUUGAUAAUAUUAGCUUAAUUCCAUAUGUUUAUAUAGGAUAAACCGAUCAAAGAAUGAAAAAAGAUAGAAACAGAGCAGACCCAGCCAUCACUUUCUUCUUCAAAGUCGCACCAUAACCACAGUGGUAGUCGUUCCACUGCCAGCCUAAUCCUUGGUCACCCCAAUGUUCUCCAUGAAGUAUUCAAAGUCAACCUAAAAAUAAAUAAAAAUGCAAUGCAGGUGGAAAUGAAAAUUCUAUAAAUUAAAUAAAAUAAAAAUGCAAUGCUUGAGCUUGAGCUUGCUUUAGCAUCAUCGUAAUAGUAAAUUUUGAUAUAUCUUUACUUCUCUGUUCUUGUUUAUUCACAACAAGAUAUCAAUAGAAGAAGAUGGAAAUGAAAUUCUAUAAAAUAAAGCAAGUGAAUUACCAACAGAACAUUUUAGCAAUCCUUUGGCUAAACUUUUCAUUUUCUUAGCAUACUCUCCUGCCUGGUGAACAUAAUUAAACAAGUAUGAAAUAAAACAAAGUGGGCUAAUGUAGUAAAAACAAUAACACAAUUACUUUAAAGAAUUAAUGUCACGUAUAUUAUAUAUAAAAAAAUACGAUUAUCAUUAUAUAAGAUAAAAUUGAUAAUUUAGUUUUCAACAUUACUGCAAACGUAUCACAGAGAUUUUGUUACACAUAACAAAUUUUCGUACAUAUGAAAAUAAAUUACAUUGCAUGAAAUUUUACAAAAGAGCACAUAUUUUUUAAAAGUAAAUAAAUAUAGAAAUUUCAACAGACUACACUUGUAUUUUUUUUUAAUUAUUUAAUCUUUAGAAAACAAGUUUAACAGAUUUGAUAACUAGGAAGUUUUACGUAUUUAUACCAUGAUUGAUUCUAUAUAGAAUUUUAAUUCAAAAUAUAAUUAUUUUUAUUAAUUUCAUUGCAAGCAACAACGAAGUAAAUUAGAGGAGGAGGAGAAAUUACCGGCGAGUGAUAAAUUACCGCGACCACUUGAUGUGGGGAAUGCGAGAUAUCUUAUGCCAGUCUUCUCCUUUCCCCUCUCUAUAACGGUUUUCCAGAAGAGGACAUCUGUCAAUAGUCAAUUCCUGCAGCGUCGUCGUCCGAAGAAGGUAAUCCGGCAGCACCUUUAAUUUGGGGCAAUACUCAAUUACCAAGGAAGAAAGACGUGGUAUGUCUGUUGUCCUGUGAUCUUCUAGAAUGGGCAGUUCUUCCAUAUUUGCACAAAAAGAAAUCCUCAGUUUCUGCAGUGCCGUCGUUCGAAGAAGGUAAUCCGGCAGCGCCUUCAAUUUG